UGGUUGCUUAAGCAAAUGCAUCCAACUAGAUCGUCCUUGUGCUGAAUAAUUGGAUAUCGUAUCCACUUAAAGCUGCCUUGUGUAGUACGUCUUUGUGUCUCUCUUUAUAUUCCAAUAAGGUCGGUGAUCUUGAUGCCACACACUCAGAUGUGUGUUCAUCUCCAGAUACUACUCCAUGCUACCUGCCCUUUGUGUUUUGUUCAAUAACUGGGUAUCAUAUCCCAGCCAGUAUGCCGUCUGUUUUGUGUUUGUUUCCUUCUAGUUCCAAAGGGGUCAUCAUGAUGUUACCUUCUUUCAAUAUGGUGCUUUGCAUGACUACUGUUGUAUGGUACCAUCUUGUGGCCAAUAAGUACAUCUUAUCCUAUGACCUUUGCUAUGACCCUUUGCAAAUAAGUAGAAGAUUGUUAUAAGCGUCAAUACUCCGUAUAAAUUGAUCGCUGCUGUGAGUUCCCUUUCAGCUUAUCGUAGGCAUACAUUAUUGCUAGCACGGUAAAGCCAACCAACACGAAUGAUGAAGUAAACGUAGCGGUACUUCUGUAUACCAACACCCUUACUUAAAUGUACCGGUGUCAUUCCCUACUGGCACAUAUAUUCUUAUAUGCUAGCCAGCUUGUAAAAUUAACCAAUUAAAAUAAUUAUUUCAAGAUAGAAAUAACUUAUCGGUUUCUGGAAGCAUGUGUAAUGUGAAUUCAAGGACUCGACGGAAGUUGAAUCACUUCAUCUAUAUUGCUUUCAGUAUUUUGGGUAACUAAAUUUAACAUUUGCACAUACAAAUGUUAAAGUACAAAUGUUAAAUCUAGUUACCCAAGCAGAAUAUGAAGAUAGUUUAUAGUAUAUAUAUACUAUAUAAAUCUAGUUAACAUUUAGUCUAAAUGUUAAAUCUAGUUACCUAAAAUCCUGAAAGCAAAAUGUAUAAAUAUAUAUCUUUUAAGGCAGUAUAAGCUUCGAUUCCUAUUGCUGCUCUGUUAAAUCUCAUCUUUCGUUGUGGCCCAACACUCUAGUAUGCAUGUUGCACCAAGCUUCUUUGAGCCGCUCUGCCCUCUGAUUUUGCUGCGUAGGGGAAUCUUUAUCAGGUUGGGCUACUUCCAGUUGUGCGAUGUAAAGAUUCGUAUUUUCUAGAAGGUAGACAAAAAACUCGCGUUCUCUUAAGGCAACAACCGGAAGAUUCUGCAGCGCACAGGGCAUACCAUUAUUGUAGAAACGACCUUUAGUACCGAUCUCCAACCCCCUUUAAAACUGGUUUUGCAACCGGUACCGUUAUGUCGGUCCUUUAGUACCAGAUCAAAUAAGUACCGGUUGGUAACCAGUAUCAACUUGUUUUGCGGCCAAAAAAAUAAAGAAAAAAACAGUCAGAAGGCUCGCGCACACGCGCAUCACAUGAAAUAUGCGUGUGCGGGGUCCAUGGGAUUCGAACCCAUGAAAUCAAGCUGCGCGCGACCCUUCGUUACCAUCUCACCUACAUAGCGCAUAUGCUUUCCUGAAGUAACCCGUGGAGGAGGCUUUAGUACCGGGUCAUAACACCACCCGGUACUAAAAAUGACUCUUCAGUACCGGGUCAUAACACCACCCGAUACUAGUAUCGGAUGGUGUAAUGACCCGAUACUAAAAGGCCUCUAGGGACCCUCAAAUUUGAACCCGGUACUAAUGCUAAUAUUAGUAGCGGGUCAAAGUGCAGCCAGAACUAAAGCAUGGGAUGAAAGGUCAUAUUUCUAGUAGUGUAUAGUUGUUGUGAAGGACUGACUUGGCUGUCCUCUCUCUUCUCCAUCCCCUUGGUCUUACGCCGCCGCUCGCACGCGAGCCGGUGCCCAACCAGAGGAGUGAGAGCUAGGGGCAGGUUGGGAGGUGGGGAUAGUGACUGGUGGCCAGGGUGAUGGUUGAUCCUGGUGGGGUUAGGGUUUUAGGGUUUUCGAGCUUCCUAUGGUCGGCGAACCUAGAGGAGGAGCUCAACAUCAGCUGCAACCCGCGAUGGUGGUGGUUUGGCCGGCGCCCGAGGCGAGGCAGCGCGGGAGUGCUGCCGGUGGGUUGGUGUUGGCACUCAUUAUUGACAACUAUUUUGUUCAUAAAAUAACACUCAAACUUGCUGCUGCUGCUGCUGCUGCCAUCGCCACCCUAGCCAUAAUAUAAAGGCAAAAUUUGCUAAAGGACAUGCAAAAUGAUGCUAGUUUGCUGGCGGGCAUCGUUGACCUUGUAAUAUGCUACAAGACACUCUAGUUGUGUAUCAAUUUGCUGAAAGACAUUGCUAUGACUAAAAUAAUGUUUCUGGACUGAGUUGGAGAGAGAGAUGGAGUGAAAUGUCUGUUUUGCCCAUGACCCCACUGGUCAGAUCCUUCUUCUUCCACCCUCCUUUGUUCUUUCUUCAACCAUUACCCAGCUCCAGCGUGUUGCAGAUCUACGAGGGUGGCGGCCUGGGGCGAGGGGCAUCGCUCGCCCUUGGAGGAGCGCUGCGAGCGACGGCGCGGGGGCGGCAACAGCGCGUCAGAACCUGACUGUUCGUUAGCUCCUCUCGCUGCUGGGGAAGGAGGGGGAUGGGCCAUGGACGGGGUUCCCUUGAAAACCUCAGCGUCGAGCUCGGGCGGCUACGCGCAGGCAGCACUAGGCUGCUUCACGGGGAGGGGGCGCGGCCAAUCAUUGGCACCCCACUGGUCCAAUGCUGAUGAAGAUGGUGCCAGCGUCGUGUGAGGACAUCUCAUCUCCUCGAGUUCCAUGGCCAGCACAGGUGAGCUGCCGCUACCACAAAACAGAGGUUUCGUGAGAGUCAAAAAACCUUAUGAAAAUAGCUAAAACCAUCAUGAAAAUAAUCCGUGACAUGACACUCUCACGAAAAUCCUCUCACAAAUAUGGUGCCAUGAAAAUACCAUUUUCAUGAGAGUGAACUGUCAUGAUUUUAUUUCGUGAGAGUAUUUCCUAUCAAUGACCUCCACGAAAUACUUUGUGCCACCAGGUCUUCAAGAUCAUUUUCAUGAGAGCUGAACAUCAGGAAAAGUCCGCCACAAAUGUUUUUCUUGGAGCCCCUAACUCUCAUGAAAAUCAUGCGGGCCGCCACGAAAAACAGCAUGACCAAAUGACAAAUUUCAUUUUCAUGUGUUCAUACCGCCAUGAAAAUGGUCAUUUUCAUGAGAGUUGAUGAAACAAAAAAUAGUGCCAUUUUCAUGAGAGUUCAAGCAACCAGGAAAAGACACUAAUAAACAUCCAGAUCCCAUCCAGCACACAUCCAUGCACAUAUAUAACCCACAUAUUGCUCCAGCACACAUCCAUGCAUAUACAAGAUCCAAAUGUUAAUAUAGUAGACAUCCAUGCCUGAACUAGUCUGCCACACAAGUCAUUGAUGCUACAAAUCCUACAAUCGCAGCAUGUGCAUACAAGUCACAGAAUGAGACAAUGUACCCAAAACUAAAAGGUUAGCAUCAACUGUGCUUCAACCAAAGUUGUCAUCCCAACUCUCCUCUUCAUCCAUGCCAUUCUUGUCGUGGCCGUCACUGUCAGUCCCCAUGGCAUUGCCAAUGCUGUGCAUGUCUUGGUAGGAACCUACAUGUGAUGAACUAGUAACCUGCAAAAAGAGCUCAAAGGAUCUUGUUCUCAUAUUGUAGCUGUGAAAUUCUUACAAGUAGUGUUGCAAUCAGUUCACUUUGAACCAAAAGAGCUCAAAGGAUCUUGUCCUAAAAGUUCCUCAUAAAGCUUAUGGGUUUGCUGGUGGAACUGGAAGGGCUUGAUGCAGCAGAUGCCAUUCUGCAAUAGAGAAAAAUUUAGAGAGCAGUACUAGUUAAAAUUGGAUGCAGAAGAUACACAUGAAACUAGUAUUUAUACAAGUCUAUACAAUUAAAAUCUAAGGAGACUUAUCAUCGUUUUCAUGUGUUGUGAAUUAAAAUAAUGAAGGAUACACUGUUAGGUGAAAAUUCAAGAAACAAAAUUUUGCAUAGAGAUAAAGGUCCAACAUUAUUACAAGUUAAGGUAGUUUUAAAUAUCCUUGUAAUCUUCCUUUGGUUUCCUCAACGAUUCGAAGACAAUAACCUUGCUUCUAUCAAUGAUAAUUAUAAGGAGAAUCCAGUGGAAACUGUGUAUUCGUAUUAGAACUACCUAAGGUUAAUUAGGUUAGGAAAGGAAAUUGAAAAUAGAUGGUACCCACACUUACUUAAAGUUGUCGGGCAAUAGUAUGUAAUGCUUGUAAUUCCGUUGCUCCAAGAAUUUGUAUAUGUGGUCCAAUGUAGACUUUGGUUGAUCCCGUAUCUGCUGUUGGUUAAAUAAGUGUUUCUAGCCAUUUCUAGCCAUUAGAACCGGGACUAAAGGGGGCUCUUUAGUACGGGUUGAUAUUACUAACCGGGAUUAAAGAGCCCCCAUUAGAGUUGGUUUUUGGAUGCGGAACUAACAACUCCUUUAGUCCUGAGUACGAAAACAACUGACAUAUUUGUUGCUGGAUGGAAGGUCCUUUCUCUACCGUGAAUAUUGCCAGAAAGAAUUGAAAGAGACUGCUUGCUAAAAAUAUGUCAUAGAUGUAGACCAAGCUACCAAGGAGGUAGACCAAACAUGAUACACACCAUGCGUACCUUGCUGUGCAGACUAUGCAUUGACAAGAUACCCGACCACAUGUUGGCCUCGGUCACAUCAAAAGAAUCAUGUAGGCCACCAAUAAACUACUUGAAGCGGCAUUCCGUAUCGUAUAUGCAUUGCCGGUUCAUCUGCAUUACAUUACAUAAAGCACUAUUAACUAUUUGAAUAAAAUGAACCAAUUUAAAAGUAAUGUGUUGUACUCUACUAUAGAAAGCCCUAUCACUGCCGGAUCCAAAAACAUCAUUGUUAAUGGUGGUUAAGUACCAAAUAUGACGGUCAAUAUUCUCAAGAAUAAUGGAGAAUUAGCAUUUCUUAGACACAUAUUUGGUUUUGAACAAUGUAGUUCCACAUGUCUUUGGAGAUUAUUUGGGUGUGGGUGAAAUAAUACAAAAAUAAGGAGAAAACACACUCCCAUGGCGAAGAAACACAACUCCAACCAAUGAGAGAUAGCCACAGGGGCAGCACACGGAUCCAUGGGCCCACUAACCGCAUCAAACCAUCUUACCAAGGCAGGUAGCACCCACAACCGUCAUUAGGACCCACCUGGAAGUCUACCAAGAAGAAGGUUGCGAGUGGGGCCAGGAGGGGUUCGGUUGAAUCAUCUCUAGCUAGCUCCCCUCAUCCCCAGCUGGUGGGUGGUGGUGGUUGAUGGUGUCCCUACAUCAGUUAGAGGAGAUUCCCCCAAAUAUUCCUCCUGUAAACCACCUCUAUGGACCUAUACAUAGAGGGGUGUGCUCUCCAUUCCAACACACACCACAAGUUGAAUCACUCUCUCCCUCUUUAGUUUCCAAGUUUAUGGAGUUAGGCUAGAGUAGCUCUGCUCAAGGUUCCAAGUCCACUUGGAGUUAAGCAUAUGUCUCUUGUAUCGUUAUUUCCUAAAUUGACUUUAUGCUUAGUUCUUAUAUGCAUGAGUUAGUCUAAUACCCUUGCUAUAUUGAUAUGCUCGGCUUAUAUGCUCGUAUGCUAGUCAUAUACCCUUGCUGUCGUAGUAUAGGCUUAUAUGCUCUCAUGUGUGCCUGUAGACCUUGCUAUAGUAUAUACUUGUUGUGCAUACAUACCAUGUAUAGGCUAGUCGAUCUAUACCAUGGCAUUGGUUCAAUAGCCAUGUUUUUGGUGGCUCCAACCCUAGUCACAAUAGCUCGGGACAGCUGGAGUGUUGUUAAAAAUGCAAGAGUGGUGCUUGGGUUGUUUAGCAUCGUUGGAUAUGGGUUUGCCCCACGGGUUUCUAACGGUAGGCGGCAGCUAGUGACAUCCCUGUCCGUCCUUCGUAAUCCCCCCACAUUCAGGUACGCCAUAAAUGUUCGUAAAUUAGCAGUAACUACGCCGGUACACCUGUAGGGUAUUGUCUCCCUGUAGUACCUUGGUGCAUAGAACUAAGUCCUAUACACUGUGUGUGUAUGUUUACGCUGAUAUGAUCUGUGCAGUAUAUAGGAUGUAUAUAUGAACCUAGAGCUAACUCCUAGUCCGUUCUCCAUAGCUUAGUUAUCUUGAGAUGAUUCUUCUGUAUGUGUAACACUACCCAUCUUAUCAUUAUCCUUGAUCCUGUCUUGUGUAAUAUAUCUACUCAUCCUAUGAUAUACUCAUAUGCAUAGUAAACUAUUUUGACCUACCCGCCUUCCUUUGGGAAAUAUGAUACCUUGGAAUAAUCCUAGGUGAAAUCCUACAACGGUAUAUCCAUGUAAAUGCGGAUUUAUUCAUGACCAUUAAAUAUACCAACAAUCAUCACUGUGAGUUUUGGGCGUCGUUAGUGAAGGGUUGGUAGUGAUGGGCAUCCCCUUCACCAAUGGACCUGGAACCGGCGGUGAUGGCUAUUAUAAAAAAGGGGACACCACCCAGCGUACCCCACGACCCGGCCGGCCGCACCUCCCAUCAUCCCCGCCAGCCGCCCUUCCUUUUCGCCGGCCGAGCAUGGUCCCGGCCUUUGUCCCUACCACCUCGCCUCCACCGCGACCCCCCGCCGAUGCCCUCGUGCCUGGCCCCCCUCAUCUUGCCGGCCACCCUCCCGAUGCGUCCACUGGGGCCCUCGCACCACCAACCGCCCUUGCUUAGAGAGGGAGAGAGAGGAGGGAGGUGAGGCCACGCACCUCGUCCUACACCGCCGCUGUUUCUCCUCGGCCCACCGCGCCUCACCCCACACCACAGCCGCGCCUUGCCAUCUUACCGGCUGUGACGCCUCAUCUCACCGGCCACCGUUCCUCACCCCCACUUCGGUCGUCGCCGCUCCUUGCCCUACCGCUGCUCUUUGCCGCUGCGAAUGAGCGCCGAGUGGAGGAGGAGGGAUGGGGCAGGAGGAGGGCAAGAUCCGGGAGGAAGGGAGAGAUCUCGGGAGGUGGAGAUGGAAGGAUAUGGCGGAAGGGAGAGAUCCAGAGGGAGAGAGCAGGGGAGAGAGGGGGGCGUGUGGGGAGAGAGCGCGUGUGGGGUGGGGCCGGGCUGGUGGGAUGGAAGGGAGAGGGGCUAGACGGGCGCAGUGCAUUCAACUGGAUGAAGUAAAUAUUUUGGAUUCGAGACCCCAGCUUUAUUAUCACCGCUGGUCCGUAGUACCAUCCGGUGCCUGCUCGUAAUUUAAUUUGAAUCUGCGGUGAUGUUUUAUUAUCACCAUCGGAUCAUAUAAAAAUCCGGCGGUUAAAAAUCCGCUGGUUUCGAUGAAAACCGACGGUGAUAGGAUGACUGUGAUAGUCUCUUCUCUAGUAGUGGUAUAUUAGUACCGGCUGCCGGAUGGUGUUGCCGACCAGUACUUCUCCGGGGGCGAUUCAGUACUGCUGUUAGCAAAGCUUGUUCUCUAUGAAUUUGGGGAUGGAAAGCUAGUUCUCUAGUUGUGAUUUGUUACAUAUAUAUCUAUGAUAGUCUAGAAAUUGCAUGUCCUUCGUUGACAUAGUUGAAGCUGCUUCAAGAAUUUACUUCGUGCAGUCGUGCAGCAUAUUGGAUUAUCACCUAGACAGGAUACAUAGGUGAAGCAUUGGAUGUGAUUGUGGCCGAUAAUUAUGCAGGACGCUGUUGCAAUCAACCACCAAGAAGUCUGGAGUGAUGGGGUUGCCUCAUCAAUAAUUUUUAUAUAUGGCUGCAGUAUUAUUAAGCCCACGUCAAUAAUUUUUUGUCCGCACCAUAUAUCGAUGGGGUUGCCUCAUCAAUAAUUCGCGCAACCAGACAAGCUGCAGACUCAAUAUGGUACGAAGCUAGUUGCUCAGCCCACAUGCUCUGAUAUAACAUUGACAUCUGCUGAUCUACAGUAUAUAUGACCAGAAAUAUUGUGCCCACCUCAAUAACUUUCUGAAGUAUCGUGGGGAAGAACCUACGCGUACUAUGCCUCGGAACUAACUGACAUAUCGGCCCAGGCGGUCUAGGCCGAUUGGACUGGCUCUUCCUUGUGGCUUCUCACAUCCCCUUCGUCCCCAAGUAAUUUCAGGUGUUCUGUAGUUUUCUUUUCACUUGCAUCUGAGCCUCCUAUAUCAAUAGCUUCGGGAUAAGAAUGCCUCUUGAUAACCUUCCAAAUCCUCGCUUGAUUCACAUUGAUUCCGAAAUCAUCUUGCCAUAUCUUCAGAGACUUAGGUCCUAAGGCAUCAUGGAGGAUUGCUCGCCAAGAAUGAGCACCAUUGGGCUCCUGAGGACCCUAGGCCGAUCAGCCCGGGCUCUAUAGGUCGAUUGGCCCAGGCCCUCUCUGGGCCUGUUGGCCUUCAUCUUUCUUUGAGUCGACGCUUAUUCAGGGCUUUGUCCAAUUAUAGUCCAUUAUAGUCUAAUUUCCUAAAAAACAGAAUGUCCUCCAAAAUACAAUGCAUAUGUGAAAACAACCCAAUUAUUAGGUAUGAUCAAUAGUUUAGGUAUUAAAUUAAUAUUAUUAUUUAAGAUAAACAGGGGUAAAGGGUGUCAUUAAUAACAAGCGCCAACAAGCGUCCUAGCUGUUCAAUAAAUUUUUUCUAGUACCGAUUGGUAACACUAACCGGUGCUAAUAUGUACCCUUUAUUACCGGUUAUUUUACCAGGUACUAAAGGAGACAAGAGCAUCCUAACAUAAGGUUAAUAUCAUCCAUUUCAUGAGUAAAAUACUAUGAUUCAAAAAUAAUUCAAAUCCCUUAAGACAAUACCUAUCAAAUGAGUAAAUUGUAAAUAGAGUAAUCUUGAUCAAACAAUGUCCUAAUGAAACGGAACACUUCUGGUUCGUGUAGAGCACAAUAUAGAAAACAGUAGGGUAGCUGUAUGAUUGACACGUGGUCCAUUAAUUAUUGAGCCAACACUAUGGACAUGUCUUCAUGAGUAGUGUACUAGUCAUAAUACAUGGUAUGCAGUAGGUGGAGGUAUUGACUUAGCCAUGCUAUGAGCACUUAGUUACAACAAACACUUUGCCAUUAUCGAGCAUCCCAAAUCACUACAAAAUCCAUAGUUUACCAUAUACUACAAAAUCUGAGUUAAAAUAAGAGCAUACACGGAAGAGUCCGAAUGCACGGCACAUUGAAUUACUAGACAAAAUUUAUGGGACAAGGUUUUGGGUAACCGCAUGAAAAAUAUUGGAUUUUACUGAACACUUAGUUACAAUUACCAUGCCCGUGAGCACUUAGUCACCACAAACAUUUAACCACUUUAGAUCAUCCUGAAUCCCUAUAAAUUCUAUACCUUACACCGUACCAUGAAAACGACAAGAACAGAGACAGAUGCGGUGAAAAUCUCCAGAGCAAGCCUGAAAUUAAAAUAAGAGGAGGCAGUCACUAUCGACAGGACACGGAGAUUGCUAGCCAUGACAGAGGAAGACAUGAUAUGAUAUUCACCUCUGAAAUGCAGCGUAGACUAAAUGAAGCACAAUUGCAAGUGAGUGUGGCAGAUAAUGGACCAUCGAGACCAUCGAAUGGUAUGAAGCAUGAUUAUCACCUAGACAUGAUAUCCUAGACAGGACGGUGAAUUGUAAAAAGAGUAAUCUUGAUCAAAGAAUGUCCUAAUGAAACGGAACAUUUUUGGUACGUGUAGAGCAAAAUAUAGAAAACAGUAGAGUAGUUGUACGAUUGAAACUGCAUCCAUCGACGUGGUGCAUGAAUUGUUGAGCCAACACUGUGGACAUGUCUUCAUGAACACCAUCUAGUGAGGACAGCAUGCAGAAAAAUAUAAAAACAUGUCAUAGGGAGGCAGACCAAUCUUGCGAGGUAGACGAAACGUGAUACACGAUCUGCCUACCUUGUCGUGUGGAUACCCCAAGUGAAGAUGUCAUAGAGGUGCAGACCAAGCUAGCAAGGAGGUAGAUGAAACGUGAUACACGGCCUGCCUACCUUGCCGUGGAUAUUAGUCCUGAUAUCAUUCUAUUGUUCAAGGAAUAACACUCAAUGCUGCUGCUGCUGCUGACCUGGCUCCAUAAAGUUAUAUUCCUCUAGCCGCUUGCACUAACUUUAUCUGAAGUAUUAUUCUCUCUGCACUGUAUAUAUGGUUACGGAGUUUGCUGGAGUAUCCGGGGGGAAGAACCUACAUAAUAUGUCUUGGAACUAACUGACAUUGAUUCACAGACAAGGUGCUGUUGUUGACAUGGUACAGUAAAUAAUAUAGUUUACCAUAUACCGUAUACCAUUAUAUGUUAGCUAAAAUAAGAGCAUAACAUGUCGCAGGAGUCCAAAAGCACCGGUUGAGGACCAGGUACAUUAAAUUACUAGAAAACAAAAGGGGACAAGGUUUAGGUAGCCACAUGAAAAACAUUUGAAUUUACUGUACCAUGAACACUUAGUUACCAUGCCGGGAGCACCUAGUUAACACUAACAUUUAGCCACUUUAGAUCAUCCCGAAACACCAAUGACCCUCAAUAGCGACAAAUUUUGGUUUAAAUGCCGUCACCAAUGAUCCUCAAUAGUGACGUGUUUAGGUUUAAAUCCCAUCACUAAUAACCCUUGGUAGUGACGUGUUUUGGUUUAAAUCUCAUCACCACUGAUCCUCACUAGUGACGUGUUUUUAGCAACACACGUUAUGAAUGACUUGUCAUUGGUGACAUGUUAAACGCGUUAUCUCAAUGGCAAAUCAAUGGUGACGUGUUUAAAAAAACAUGUCACUGUGAGAGUUAUUGGUGAAGGGUAAUUAAAAUGCAUCACUAAUUUUGUAGCAUUAGUUAUGAUAUAAUUUUGUAACGCAAAAAUCUACCAUAGUAAUGAGGUUUAGAGCCAUCACUAAUGUGGGUUUCUUAUCGUAGUGAUGCAAGCUCUACAAGGUGCUGUUGUUGCCAUUUUAAAGCAUCCCAAAUGACUACAAGAGUCCGGUUGAGGACUAAACAAAUUGAAUUACUAGAACCAAAUGUAUGUCCAGAACAAAGAAAGGGGUCAAGGUUUGGGUAACCGCAUUAAAAACAUUGAAUUUUACUGUACCAUGAACACUUAGUUACCAUUACCAUGCCUUGAGCACCUAGUUACCACAAACAUUAAUUUAGCCACUUUAGAGGUUCCACAAUCACUAUAAAUAAUAUACCAACACCGUACCAUGAAAACAUCAAGAAGAGAGACGGGUACAUGGACCACCAUCAAGUGAGUAGUGACAGCACGCACAAGAAUACCCGGAACCUUUUAGCUUGUCUGUAGUGAUCUGUUUUCUUCGCCACAAAUAAUGAAAGAGGCUGACCAAGCUAGCAACGAGGUAGAGCAAACGUGAUACACGUAGGUUUCAUUCAAGACAUCCAUGUAAGAUUCAUUCAAAACAUUCAUGGAAAUUUCUUGUAAGUUUUCAUGUAAAUUUCAUUCAAGACAUUUGUUAGAGGUGUUGUAUAUACACUUAACGUACAUAUAUCUAUGAUUUCAUGGUUGUUAGUGAUGGCAGAUGAGGAGCAUGCAAGGUGUUUAAUGGAGCAGAUUAUUGCUAGUGGUAGUGGCUCCAACCUGCCCGUAACGUACACCGACGAAGAGGGCAGCCAGGCGGACAUGUUCCUCAACAUGUCCGGUGAUGGCAAUGAAGAGCCCGAGCAAAACCUUGCCGUGACGGAAGGUUCCAUCGAGGUAUAUAUCAUUUCCAUUAUUUUACCCCAUCUAUAAUUUCAUAUUCAUUAUUACUAUGUGCUAAUUAAUGAAUCUUGAACCGUUAGUCCUCUAGAUCAACGAACCGAAAUAAGCCCCGAGGUCUUACAAAGAUAAUGCAGGGAAGGCUUCACAUCAUGGAAGUCACAGAAGAGGGCACAUCGGUUGCUCCCGAACAUGUGGCAAGAAAGUACGUGAGUCAAACCGGGGCAAUCGUAAGGGACAACAUGCCCAUCAGCAUCAGGGAAUGAAAGAGCAAUAGAAAUGAUCUAUACGCACCCCCGGAUACACAAAAGGAUAUGUUGUGGGCAAAUAUCAAGAAACACUUCACAUUUCCCAAAGGAUAUGUUGAAAAAUAUGUGAAAGCGUGGAUGUUGAAGAAGAUGGCCACCCAAUUCCAGACAUUCAAGAAGAUGUUGGAUGCCAACUUCAUCAAGAAGGGUCGAACUCCGGGUUUCAAUGAGUGGCCAAAGUUAAGGGACCACUGGGAGUCGUUUGUCGAAUACAAGACGAGCGAAGGUGGUGCGAGUAAGGUUCACAUCAAUGUUGCCAAUGCUAGCAAGGAGUACCAUCAUCAUCUAGGGCGACGUGGUUACAGCUCUGCAAUUCCCAGAUGGCGCAAGAUGGAACAAGACCUGAUCGAUCGGGGUAUCGUACCAGCAACUCUUGACUGGAUCGAUUGAAAAAUUGGUAUUAUGCUCAUGAAGGCAAUCUGAGCCAAGAGGAUCCGACAUUGGUCUUCAAUAAAACAAUACGUCAGAAGGUCGGAAGGCUUAUUAGGAACAUUGAAGAUGCUAAAGCUGGGAGGUUCAAGGUGGAUAGAGAGAAUGAUGAACUCACAUUGGCCCUCGGGACUGUCAUCUCUAGCACUUCCAGCUCCAGGACUAUCGUCACCACCGGGACCGUCGCUUCCUGCUCGAUCACAGUCUCCAUCUCCAGCACAUCCUGGUGGUGCGAGCGACGACGACAACAACACCCCUCCCUGCCCACCAUUGCCGGGACUAAGACCCGCAUUGAGUAAGGAACCUGCAACACCACUGAAGAAGUCGCGACCACCACCUUCAAGGCAAGUCAGCAAAAGAAGAAAGCAGAGAAGCCUAAACCCACUGAGAAGCCAGCGACUGAUAUGACCGAUGCGGAAAGAUGGAAGGCACUCAAAGAAGAAUGCAGGGAGUGGUUCAGCGAAGGCGAAGGUGAGAAAGUCGUAUGAAUCGAAUUCAAGGAUAUAUAUGAAGUGAACCAUCAGGAUGCCCUUGAUGUCUCUCUCAUCAGCGCCUAGGUUCUGUAAGUGUAUGUUUAUCUAUAAGUAAAUUUUGGCUCAUAUCAUUAUUUUUUUUGCGUGCGUCACCCUACUAACUUCGUCUUCCAUUUUAUGUAGGAUGCUAAUUCAGACGUGCCGCAUAGAAGCGUACUUCCAUGUUGGAUUCAUGGAUCCAUCCCUAGUUAACCAAAAGCCGAUACGGAAGUAGCUAGAGAAAACGUUGGAGGUGGUGUACAACCUCCUGGACAAACUAAACUACAGAAUAGGGGCAAUAUGUGAGGGUCUUGUAGGAUUCCUAGUGGACGAGGUGAUAAAUCCAUAAGGAGAAUAUCAUUCCAACGGACGAGCAUUAGACACACUGAGCAACACCUAGAUGGGAGGAUCCUAGGAAUGACCUCGACAGAUUUUGGUAUAAAUAGUAAUUGUGUAAAUACUAGUUUGAUUUGUAUAGGAAUAUACUAAGAAUUGUAUAUAUAGUAAUUGUACAAAUACUAGUUUGAUUUGUAUGAAUACUAGAUUGAUUUUAUUAUAAAAAAGUUUUAAGUCGUACGUGCAUGCGCCUACAAAGGCGCGGAUGCCUUUUAAUCCCAGUCGGAAAAACAAACUGGUACUAAAGGGGCUCGUGCCGCACCUGGCAUGACCACCCCUUUAGUCCCGGUUGAACGACCCAGGACUAAAGAUCUCCGCGUCUCAAAAAUUUUAUCUCGGAUGCUUUUUAGAGAGAUUUGAGGCCUAUCAACCAAGACUAAUAUCGAGUUUUCUACCAGUGAAACUAACUAACGUUCACAUGGUUUUGACAUUCACCUGCCAUUUGGUGUAGACAAGGGCACCCUAACAUAUGGUUAAUAUUAUUCUUGAAAGAAAAUCCUUUGAUUCAAAAUACUUCAAACCUAAUAAUACAAUACUUCUCACAUCUGAAAAAUAUGAGACGGCCCGACAGUAUUCUAAUCGACGCAAUAAUAUUUUGAGGGCAGCACUACUACAGCGACCCUCAUUCGUGCCGGUGCUGGGACUCCUAUCACGACCCUGAUACAAAUGAGGGUACAUUAUUGGUGCCAGUGCUAGAACAGCCACGAAUAACUUGCUAAACGUGCUGUUACACUCACUACAGGGACCAAGAAGGUAGAUAAAUUACACGACAUAGCCUUGGUUGCCGUGGAAGCGCCAAGAAGGGAGACAAAUUACAGGGACCACACCAUCAAGUAGAUAGUGACAAUAUGCAAAAGAAUACCCGCGCCUGUUAGCAUGUGAACUGACCACACCACGAAACGUGAUACACGGCAAGCGUACCAAGGCCUUGCUGUGCAGACUAUGCAUGGACAACACAUGGUACCUGACCGCUUUUGGCCUCAGACACAUCGAAAAACUGCAUCGUUCCACGUUGUACAUCCAUUGCUAGUUUAUCUAUAUUACAUAAUAUAUUAUUAGCUAUUUGAAUAGAAUGAACCAAUUAAAAAAUUGCGUUGUAUUUUUAGUACCGGCUGCAGGAUGGUGUUACCAACCAGUACUAAUUGGCCUGUAGGAGUGAUGGUUAUUAGACUUGGUACUGUUGUUAGCAUCAUUAACCUAAUUGUGCGCCGUAUGAAUUUGGGGAUGCAAAGCUAGCUCUCUAUGAAUGUGAGGGAUGGAAAGCUAGUUCUCUAGUAGUAAUUAUAUAUAUGACAGUCAAGAAAUCGAACACUAUGCUGCUACGAGUCACCAUCAUUUCCUUCAUUGACAAUCUGACAUAGGUGAAGCUGCUUCAAUAAUUUCCUUCGCGCAGUCGUGGAGCUUAUUGGAUUAUCACCAGGACGGGACACGGAAAUGGCCAGCAAUGAAGCUGAUUGCCGUCUGAGGAAGACUACAUACUUACCUAUGAAAUGAAGCGAUUGCAUAGACUAAUGAAGCAUUGCAUAUUUGCAUGUGAGUGUGGCAGAUAAUUCUGCAGGACAUGAUUGCAAUCCACGCACCAUCGAGAAGACUGGGGCGAUGGGGUUGCCUCAUCAAUAAUCACGUGGAUGCAUGCAUGCAUGUUCCCGCAACCGGACAAGGGUCUGAUAUAUGGCUAUAGUAUUACUGAGCCCACAUCAAUAAUUUCCACUGGUGUAUCGUGUGGGAAGAAUCAACAUACUACACCUCGAGUUCUUGGAACUAACUGACGUUCACAUGCAACCUCCACAAGGUGCUGUAUGCUUUUGACAUUCACCUGCCAGUUCGUGUAGAGAAGGACACCCUAACGUAUAGUUAAUAUUAUCCAUUUCAUGAGUAAAAUACUGUGAUUCAAAAAUACUUCAAAUCCCUUGAGACAAUACUUCUCACUUGACUAACCACUAACCAACCCCGAAACCCUAACUCAACUCCGAACCCUAACCCCUAACGGCAUAACCACUCCGUUUUGCCGGCGAGAUGGAGGAACUGGCUGGAAGGUAGAGAGGGCAGCGGUCCAGGGUUGAAAACGACGGGCGAGCGCAGUAACAUGUGGAGGAGGAAGUGCCACGUAUUCGUUCACCGCUAUUGGGCAGCGACACACGACACGCCCAAUAAGAUCUUCGCACGGUAGAAGGACGUCAUGUAUUCAAUAAUGUUAUUGGUCCCCCAUGUGCAGAAGGGCGCGCGCGUAUGGAAUAACAAGUAGGGACACUGCAACUAAUCUACUCUGCUCGUCCAGUCCCUAGCCUAUAAAUAGAUGCCAUGCUAGCUCUUGUUGUGCUCACAAUUAAUCCGAUUACACACGAGCUUCUCUCCCUGGCCAAGACACAACCAUAGUAUGAUGAAGAACAUGGCACUAGCCGGCAAUGGUAUGAAGAAGUUAAUCCUCGCUGUUCUCUUACUGUGUCUAGUUAUAGGGCAGAUACAAGUGGAAGCUAAGAGCUGCUGCCCAUCCACCACUGCAAGAAAUGUCUACAAUACCUGCCGUUUCACGGGUACAUCCCGUCCAACGUGUGCAAAACUGUCAGGCUGCAAAAUUAUCAGCGGGAACAAAUGCAAGCCCCCUAACGACCACCUCACCCUUGACCCGGACACUGGUAAAUAAUAAAUUUAUCUCACUUGAUUUCUUCGUGAUUUGAGUCGUUAAUGUAUUUUCCAUCUGAUGAAACGUAUUGGUUUUGCAUUGAAGAGGAAGUUAAUGUGCUUAACUUCUGCAAGUUGGGGUGUGCGUCGUCUGUGUGCAACAACAUCAACGCUGGUAAGCAACUUUUGCUCAGACAGAGAAAACAAUAAUCAUUAAUUAGCGGCAGCUAGAAUCCUAUAAUCUAAUAUAUAUAUAUAUAUAUAAUUUUAUCAGCUCUGGGAAAUGAAGAGGCGAACGAUGCCGUUGAGAGUUGCGACCAAGCCUGCUCUAGCUUCUGCAGCGUGCAUGUUGGCAGCGCCACCGUGGUUGCUUAAGCAAAUGCAUCCAACUAGAUCGUCCUUGUGCUGAAUAAUUGGAUAUCGUAUCCACUUAAAGCUGCCUUGUGUAGUACGUCUUUGUGUCUCUCUUUAUAUUCCAAUAAGGUCGGUGAUCUUGAUGCCACACACUCAGAUGUGUGUUCAUCUCCAGAUACUACUCCAUGCUACCUGCCCUUUGUGUUUUGUUCAAUAACUGGGUAUCAUAUCCCAGCCAGUAUGCCGUCUGUUUUGUGUUUGUUUCCUUCUAGUUCCAAAGGGGUCAUCAUGAUGUUACCUUCUUUCAAUAUGGUGCUUUGCAUGACUACUGUUGUAUGGUACCAUCUUGUGGCCAAUAAGUACAUCUUAUCCUAUGACCUUUGCUAUGACCCUUUGCAAAUAAGUAGAAGAUUGUUAUAAGCGUCAAUACUCCGUAUAAAUUGAUCGCUGCUGUGAGUUCCCUUUCAGCUUAUCGUAGGCAUACAUUAUUGCUAGCACGGUAAAGCCAACCAACACGAAUGAUGAAGUAAACGUAGCGGUACUUCUGUAUACCAACACCCUUACUUAAAUGUACCGGUGUCAUUCCCUACUGGCACAUAUAUUCUUAUAUGCUAGCCAGCUUGUAAAAUUAACCAAUUAAAAUAAUUAUUUCAAGAUAGAAAUAACUUAUCGGUUUCUGGAAGCAUGUGUAAUGUGAAUUCAAGGACUCGACGGAAGUUGAAUCACUUCAUCUAUAUUGCUUUCAGUAUUUUGGGUAACUAAAUUUAACAUUUGCACAUACAAAUGUUAAAGUACAAAUGUUAAAUCUAGUUACCCAAGCAGAAUAUGAAGAUAGUUUAUAGUAUAUAUAUACUAUAUAAAUCUAGUUAACAUUUAGUCUAAAUGUUAAAUCUAGUUACCUAAAAUCCUGAAAGCAAAAUGUAUAAAUAUAUAUCUUUUAAGGCAGUAUAAGCUUCGAUUCCUAUUGCUGCUCUGUUAAAUCUCAUCUUUCGUUGUGGCCCAACACUCUAGUAUGCAUGUUGCACCAAGCUUCUUUGAGCCGCUCUGCCCUCUGAUUUUGCUGCGUAGGGGAAUCUUUAUCAGGUUGGGCUACUUCCAGUUGUGCGAUGUAAAGAUUCGUAUUUUCUAGAAGGUAGACAAAAAACUCGCGUUCUCUUAAGGCAACAACCGGAAGAUUCUGCAGCGCACAGGGCAUACCAUUAUUGUAGAAACGACCUUUAGUACCGAUCUCCAACCCCCUUUAAAACUGGUUUUGCAACCGGUACCGUUAUGUCGGUCCUUUAGUACCAGAUCAAAUAAGUACCGGUUGGUAACCAGUAUCAACUUGUUUUGCGGCCAAAAAAAUAAAGAAAAAAACAGUCAGAAGGCUCGCACACACGCGCAUCACAUGAAAUAUGCGUGUGCGGGGUCCAUGGGAUUCGAACCCAUGAAAUCAAGCUGCACGCGACCCUUCGUUACCAUCUCACCUACAUAGCGCAUAUGCUUUCCUGAAGUAACCCGUGGAGGAGGCUUUAGUACCGGGUCAUAACACCACCCGGUACUAAAAAUGACUCUUCAGUACCGGGUCAUAACACCACCUGAUACUAGUAUCGGAUGGUGUAAUGACCCGAUACUAAAAGGCCUCUAGGGACCCUCAAAUUUGAACCCGGUACUAAUGCUAAUAUUAGUAGCGGGUCAAAGUGCAGCCAGAACUAAAGCAUGGGAUGAAAGGUCAUAUUUCUAGUAGUGUAUAGUUGUUGUGAAGGACUGACUUGGCUGUCCUCUCUCUUCUCCAUCCCCUUGGUCUUACGCCGCCGCUCGCACGCGAGCCGGUGCCCAACCAGAGGAGUGAGAGCUAGGGGCAGGUUGGGAGGUGGGGAUAGUGACUGGUGGCCAGGGUGAUGGUUGAUCCUGGUGGGGUUAGGGUUUCAGGGUUUUCGAGCUUCCUAUGGUCGGCGAACCUAGAGGAGAAGCUCAACAUCAGCUGCAACCCGCGAUGGUGGUGGUUUGGCCGGCGCCCGAGGCGAGGCAGCGCGGGAGUGCUGCCGGUGGGUUGGUGUUGGCACUCAUUAUUGACAACUAUUUUGUUCAUAAAAUAACACUCAAACUUGCUGCUGCUGCUGCUGCCAUCGCCACCCUAGCCAUAAUAUAAAGGCAAAAUUUGCUAAAGGACAUGCAAAAUGAUGCUAGUUUGCUGGCGGGCAUCGUUGACCUUGUAAUAUGCUACAAGACACUCUAGUUGUGUAUCAAUUUGCUGAAAGACAUUGCUAUGACUAAAAUAAUGUUUCUGGACUGAGUUGGAGAGAGAGAUGGAGUGAAAUGUCUGUUUUGCCCAUGACCCCACUGGUCAGAUCCUUCUUCUUCCACCCUCCUUUGUUCUUUCUUCAACCAUUACCCAGCUCCAGCGUGUUGCAGAUCUACGAGGGUGGCGGCCUGGGGCGAGGGGCAUCGCUCGCCCUUGGAGGAGCGCUGCGAGCGACGGCGCGGGGGCGGCAACAGCGCGUCAGAACCUGACUGUUCGUUAGCUCCUCUCGCUGCUGGGGAAGAAGGAGGGGGAUGGGCCAUGGACGGGGUUCCCUUGAAAACCUCAGCGUCGAGCUCGGGCGGCUACGCGCAGGCAGCACUAGGCUGCUUCACGGGGAGGGGGCGCGGCCAAUCAUUGGCACCCCACUGGUCCAAUGCUGAUGAAGAUGGUGCCAGCGUCGUGUGAGGACAUCUCAUCUCCUCGAGUUCCAUGGCCAGCACAGGUGAGCUGCCGCUACCACAAAACAGAGGUUUCGUGAGAGUCAAAAAACCUUAUGAAAAUAGCUAAAACCAUCAUGAAAAUAAUCCGUGACAUGACACUCUCACGAAAAUCCUCUCACAAAUAUGGUGCCAUGAAAAUACCAUUUUCAUGAGAGUGAACUGUCAUGAUUUUAUAAGCGUCAAUACUCGGUAUAAAUUGACUACUGCUGUGAGUUCCCUUUCAGCUUAUCGUAGGCAUACAUUAUUGCUAGCACGGUAAAGAGAACCAACACGAAUGAUGAAGUAAACGUAGCGGAACUUUUGUAUACCAACACCCUUACGUACCGGUGUCAUUCCCCACUGCCACAUAUAUUCUUAUAUGCUAACCAGCUUUGAAAAUUAAGCGAUUAAAAUAAUUAUUUCAAGAUAGAAAUAACUUAUCGGCUUCUCGAAGCUUGUGUAAUGUGAAUUCAAGGACUCGAUGGAAGUUGAAUCGCUUCAUCUAGAUUGCUUUCAGGAUUUUGGGUAACUAAAUUUAACAUUUGCACACACAAAUGUUAAUGUACAAAUGUUAAAUCUAGUUACCCAAGCAGAAUAUGAAGAUACUCUAUAGUAUAUAUGUACUAUAUAAAUCUAGUAAACAUUUAGUCUAAAUGUUAAAUCUAGUUACCUAAAAUCCUAAAAGCAAAAUGUAUAAAUAUAUAUCUUUUAAGGCAGUAUAAGCUUCAAUUCUCUGUUAAAUCUCAUCUUUCGUUGUGGCCCAACACUCUAGUAUGCAUGUUGCACCAAGCUUCUUUGAGCCGCUCUGCCCUCUGAUUUUGCUGCGUAGGGGAAUCUUUAUCAGGUUGGGCUACUUCCAGUUGUGCGAUGUAAAGCUUCGUAUCUUUUAGAAGGUAGACAAAAUACCCGCGUUCUGGAAGAUUCUGCAACGUGCACGUUGGCGCUGCCACCGUGGUUGCUUAAGCAAAUGCAUCCAACUGAAUCGUCCUUAAGCUGAAUAAUUGGAUAUGGUAUCCACUGCUUAAAGCUGCCAUGUUUAGUACGUCUUUGUUUUUCUCUCUUUAUAUUCCAAUAAGGUCGGUGAUCUUGAUGCCACACACUCAGAUGUGUGUUUAUCUCCAGAUACUACUCCAUGCUACCUACCCUUUGUGUUUUGUUCAAUAACUGGGUAUCAUAUCCUAGCCAGUGUGCCAUCUGUUUUGUGUUUGUUUCCUUCUAGUUCCAAAGGGGUCAUCAUGAUGUUACCUUCUUUUGAGGUGUCUAUGAUGACUUCGUUAAUAUCAAUAUUAACCAAUUCAAUCUGUCUUAACUAUUUGUAAGGGGUAUGAUGUAUGCAUGAUUAUAACAAUGAUUGCGCAUACAAUCGCCGCCAAAGAAACGGUCAAUACCAUUAAGACAUAUUACAGACAAUUCUCAUAAUCUAUAAUGAAUAUACAUAUUCACUACUGCAGAAGACUGUCAUUUGUAUCGGCUCAUACGUGCCAGGGCAAAGGUCACCCUUGCAUUAAGUACAUUUGCACGGUAAAGACAACCAACACGAAUAAUGAAGUAAACAUGCCGGUGCUUUUGUACACCAACACGCUUACUUAAAUGUACUGGUGUCAUUCCUCACCGGUAGCCGGCUUGAAAAUUAACCAAUUAGAACAAUUAUUUAUUGUAUCGGUGUGAUUUUUGACCUAUUGGAAUAUGAAUUUGACCGUUACUGCAUUCGUCAAGACUCAAGAGAGAAAUAACUGAUCGGCUUCUUAGAGCGUGUGCAAUGUGAAAUCAAGGACUGGAUGGAAGUUGAAGCGCUAGCACUAGUAGAGAAACGACUUUCCAUCCACCCCCUUUUGUCCCGGUUUAAAGUUGGCUCGGGAUAAAAGGUUCACCAACCGGGACUAAAACUCAGUCACUGGUGGGAGGCUCACCAACCGGAACCUUUUAUCCCGGUUGCAAAGGCUAAUGGGAAAAAAAGACUCUGAGAGGCCUUUUAUCCCGGUUUGAAACACCAACCGGGAUAAAAGACCCCCCUUUUAUCCCGGUUGGUAACACCAACCGAGAUAAAAGGGUCAAGAGCCUUUUAUCCCGGUUGGAAACACCAACCGGGAUAAAAGACCCCCUUUUAUCCCGGUUGGUGUUUCAAACCGGGAUAAAAGGGCCCCCACGAGGUGACUGGAAGGUGACUGGAAGGGGAUUAAAUCGUGGGGGACCCUUUUAUCCCGGUUGGAAACACCAACCGGGAUAAAAGGGGGUCUUUUAUCCCGGUUGGUGUUUCCAACCGGGAUAAAAGGGUCCCCCACGAGUUAAUACAAAAGGAUAGUAUCCCCUACAUAGUCAGAUGUGGUGUGUAGGUGGGAUGGUAAGGAAGCUACGCGCGAGCUCCGGAAUUUUUUUUUUUUUUUUUUGCAGCGUCGGCGCUCUCUACCCUUUUAUCCCGGUUGGUAUUACCAACCGGGAUAAAAGGGGGUCUUUUGUCCCGGUUGAGUGACCCGGGAUAAAAGACCCCCCCUUUUUUCCCCGGUUAGUUUAUCCCGGAUGCAUUUUCGGGAUAAAAGCACCCUACCAACCGGGAUUAAAGCUCACUUCUCUACCAGUGUAGCUUCAUCUUCCGCUGCAAGUUAAUUGCUUGGAUAAGAAGUUGUAGCCGCUGCAAGUUAUAAAUAGUCCCGCUGAUGCUGUGCUCCGAAGUCUAUACUAUAUAUGCGGAAACUAGAUUGCUUUCAGGAUUUUGGGUAACUAAAUUUAACAUUUGUACAUAAAAAUGUUAGUUUACGAAUGUUAAAUCUAGUUACCCAAGCAGAACAAGAAGAUAGUAUAUAGUAUAUACUAUAUAAAUCAAGUUAACAAUUAGUCUAAAUGUUAUAUCUACUUACCCAAAAUAUUGAAAGCAAAGAAAGAAUAAGUAUAUAUCUUUUGUUGGAAAAUUGGUCCACGGAGAGGCCCAUUUAGGCCUCGUUCGUUUCACCGGGAUGGGAUUCCAGUCAGGAUUACUUCCAAGUUCGGUUUGAGUGAUUCCACCCGUGUCACUCAAUCCGGCUAGGAUUCAUUCUAUGGGUGAGGAGGUAUGGUUUCAAUCCAGGCCAUCUAAUGUAGAAGGAUUCCAAUCCAGGCCGGUUUUCGUUCCAGGCCAGACUAAAACGAACAACACUUUCAAUGCAAGUCUGGUUUCAAACCGGGCCAUUUCAAACCACCCGGAAUGGACCUCGUUCCAGGCCAAUCCGGUGAAAACAAAUGAGGCCUUAAUGGAAUCCCAAAGCAAGAGUUCAGUGGCAUUCUAUAGUCCCAUGCUGCUAGUUUGAGUUGGUCGAAGCCAACUUAAAUAGGAGAGCUCUCUCACUUCUCUAAAUACGUAACUGAAGGAGAGAAGGGGGCUUGGGUUACACAACGCACGCACGCACGCAUAUUUGCGUUCUUUUCGCGUAACCAACCGCGUGACUUGAAACUUGCGACGUAGCGUGCUGCUAAGUCAAGUUGAUAUAACCUUUUUGCCGUUUGCAUGUAAUCUUUUGACAACGGUCAUUGGAGGUGAUAAGCACGCAGUCAAUACCUUAAUCUUGAGUUAAUAGGGUGGUUACUACUGCCAAUUAGUGGGGCAAUUUUGUAGGGGAAACGGUUAGCAGAGGGCUACCGUCUUCUCUAUAAGAAGUUCUGGAGACGUCCAGGAACACACAUGUACAUGUGAGAGACCCACAAAUUCCUUCCCUUCUCCCUUUUCCAUGUGGUGAAGUGUGCUGUGGUACUGAGCUGCUUGAUCUCGCCGCUCUUCUCCUUGGCAUGCACCGAGGAGGAGGGUGAGCGGUAUCUCCGAGCUAUUGCCGUCAGGAAGCCUGCACGAGGGACAACAAAAAGUUUUUGGGUAGCGCAACUGCCAGCACAACUCUCCCUCCGCCUCUUCUUCACGGUUGAUGGCCACCACAAGCAUAAACCUCGCCUUCGCAUCCACGCAAAAGGGUCGCUGGGGUGCCUUCUUGCAUCGCUUCUCAGCCUCCUUGACUUGCGGCCAGCCAAGAACUGCGCCACCACCUCGGGUGCACGCCACCACUCCAGGGCUGCUACCCCAUGCCUGCGGCCGCCGCCGGCCACCACGCGUGUGCAACCGCGUCGCACCGCUUCCUUGCUUUGUGCCACCACUGCUGCUGUACCACCAGCUCCACCACCUUGGGCUGGUCGCCAGAGUGACUGAUAACUUAUUAUCUGUAACUACUAUUAACUCAGGGAUACAUGCGUCUUUUGCUUCUCCUACUAAUAUGUCCUAAAAUAUCUAGGAUGCCUUAUAUUUCUGGACAGAGGAAGUAUUUGAAUAAAAUGAACCAAUUUAAAAAAAUGUGUUGUACACUACUACAGAAAGACCUAUCAGUGUCAAACCCAAAAAUGUUGUCACCGCCAGUUUUGGGCAUCAUUGGUGAAAGGUUGGCGGUGAUGGGCUUUCCCUUCAACAACGGCACUGGAGCCGACGGUGAUUGACAUUAGAAAACAAAAAAGGGGACCCUACCUAGCCACCCCUGCAACCCGGCCGGCCGUGCCUCCCCUCAUCCCCACCACCUCGCCUCCCCAUGACCCCCCGCCGGCGCCCUUGCGCCUAGCCCCCUCAACUGCCCAGCCGGCCACCCUCAUCACGAGAGAGAGGUGCAUGUUGUAUAAUUGCGUGAAUUUUUUAAUGUUUAAUUUCAUGUAAGUUCCGUGUAAUAAAUUGUACAAGUUUUAUUGUAUAUAUGAAUUCCAUAUAUAUAUAUAUAUAUUUAUAAUUUAAUGUAUGGUUUCAUGUGUAUAUUUCAAUCAUGUGUAUAUUUAGUAGAUUGCCGAUUUUCUUUUUCUACUAGACAAGGGUUGAUGUAUAAUUACGUGUAUAUGUUUAUUGUACGGGCAAUUAGGACAAGUUUUGUAUAAAUUUCUUUUAUUUGAUGGUUGUUGUAUGGUUUCAUGUAUAUACAUUUAUUGUACUACUUUAGACAAUUUUUAAUUUAAUGUUUCUAUGAUUAGAUGUGUGUAUAACUAAUUGUAUUAUUAGUUAAGAUGGGAGCUAAAGAGGAUGAAAGGUAUAUAAUGGAGCAGAUUAUUGCUAGCUCAAACGUUGCAAGAACCUACACCGAGGGUGAGGGUAGCUAGGUGGACAUGUACCUCAACAUGUCCAGUGAUGGCAAUGACGAUGAGGAGCACGAGCAUGACAUCUAUGAUAAUGCGGAACAAGACAUUGCAGAAUUGGAAGGUUCUAAUGAGGUGUGCUUCAUGUUGACAAUCUAGUUGGCUUUUUUUCGUUGGUCACACCUUAGUUACCAUAGAACUUCGUCUCGGGAGAAGAUUGGUGGUGGUAUGGUGAUUGGAAUUUUAUUUCCACGAAAUCUGAUUUCCAUCGAAUCAUAUCCCUUGUAUUUAUCUUCUUUUUAUUUGUGAGAGCAUCUUCUUUAUGCUUGCAAAACAAUUCAAGUGCACAUACUACCCCUAGGGUGACGAUUGGGAGUAGAAAUAAUUGCCAACAAAACAACACCACAUCCUAAGAUUCUUAACUUGUGGCAUAAUUAGUCUAGUAAAAAGAAAGAUAAAAACCUAAUGGGUGUAUGUGAGUGCAAUGUGUAUAUGCAUAUGAGUGGAAGGCAUAUAAGCAAAGACAAUAUUUACACAUAGUUCUAAACACCAUGUUUACAGCUAGGUUGCUGAAUUUCUCCAUAGCCAUAGAGAUUAAUUAACCAAGGUCAAAACACGAUGUCUAUCCCAAGAUCAGUAAUUAUUUAUAGCACAAGAAAAAGAAAGCGCAUUGCAAAGUUUAUAAACCAACCAAUACAGCAUGAAAACAAGAUGAAUAGCUAGCAAGGUUUAUUAAACUGAAUGAUGACGGUCUGUAAGCAAGUUUAAACACCAUCUUUACACAAGAUUGCAAAUGGAAAAUGCCCAUAUGAAGCACUAACAUGGAUAUGAAAUCAUUCAUCAUAAAGCGUAAAGAACAACCAAGCCAACCAUAUGCAAAGCAUGAAUGGAAUGCAAUGAAGGUGCAAGAGAACAUUUUUGGAUGAACACAUUAUGAUGAUGGCAAAAUGCAAUGCAUGCAGAAAAAAUAAAUAUGAACAUGAAUAUGAUGAUCAGGGGCGGACCCACUAUUGUGGCCUGGGUAUUCCUCGGCAUACCCAAUAUUUUUGGGAAAAUGUUUAGUAGUUUUUAAUGGCAUAUACAUGUAUAAUAUAGUUUAGGUGUUAAAAUUGAUAUUCACAGCUAUUUUGGGCUCCAAUUCGCGUCCAAACCAACCUGGCCCACAGACCGCACCCGGCCGCCCGGCCCAUCGGCCCAUCUUGUCACUGAUCCUCCCACCACCACACUCAGCCCGUCAGUUAGUCAGGUCCCGAGCUCCUGCCUGACCUAGUCCGCUACCACCGCCAGGCGCCAGGCACAGCUGUACACGCCGCCCCCGUCCACCCACGUCCGCCGCACGGCCGCGUCGCGCCCCCCCCCGGCGCCCGCUGCUGCCAGAACCCAUUAGGCCUCCACCGGCAAGUCCACCCACAGUCCCGCGCGACGCGGCAGCCUCUUGGCUCUCGGCGCUCGCGGCGCGCCAAUGCCUGCGCAGCCCCAGCAGGCGACUGCCCCCCCCCCCCCCGCAUCGGGCCUCGGCCCCUCCCCAGCUCCCCCUCCCCCCUCCACCAGGACUGCCUGCUGGCCCCCACCGCGAGGUAAUCGAAAUGGACUGCUCAAUCUCUCAAUCUGUUGACAUGAUGCACACGGUUGCAAAAAUAGAUGUGUCAAAAUAGAUGUAUUGCCAAUUGCUAUAGAUGCAUAUGGUUGACAUGAAGAAGUCAAAAAUGACAUUUGGUUCCUUGUAGGCAGUCAAAAAUGAAGAAGUCAAACAAUAUUGAUCUGAAAUCAAUGCGGGAAAGGGCUACGAAGACACACGGGUAGAUUCCCUUGUGAACUUUUUAUGUCGUUCGUCUAAAUAUAUUUUUGCAAUGGGCAUACCCUACUCUGAAAUCCUGGGUCCGCCACUGAUGAUGAUGGUCUAAACAUAAAACAAGCCUAGAUUAAUUAGCUACAACUGAAAUUAAGCAAAGGUUAAUGUCAUUGACCCUAGCUCUAUCCUAGCUUUUACUAAAGUCCCGGCACAUAUAGUGGUUGGGCCCACUCUCUCUACUUCCCUCUCUGCUGCAUGCACACACACGAGCAACUGGAGGCCCAACAAAGCCCAGAAGGGUUCGGCCGAACCCGUCCGAUCCAGUCUGAGCGCCGCUCCCUCCCAGCCUUCGCGCAGAUGCUCCUCCAACGUUCCUUGACCCCUCCCUCAGUGUCCCAUUGGGUUUAACAUUGUAGGAGAGGAGUCCCUUUUUUAAAAUCUCAACCACCUCCUCUCCUCAUUCACUCCACUCUCAUCUCCAUCAAACUCACCAAGAUCCACAUCGGAAAUACCUGCUUACCACCAUGGCUGGCAAAGCCCUCGUCCCUUUCACCAACUUGGGCUUGACCAUUGAUCUCGAUGGGAAAAUCACUCCAGCAAAUGUCAUUGUCCCUGUCGGCGAUCUGGCGAUGGAGGAGGUCCAGGCACUAGAGGUCGAGCCCCUAGCCAUCAUACCGCCCAAGGGGUAAAGCAGGAGCAUGACAGGCGCUGCUAGGGGUUCAGCCGAACUCCCAGUUCAGCCAAACGAGGACGGCGUCGCCUCGGCCUCCCGCUCGACUGCAUGCUUCCCCUUGCCAAGGAGGACUCCAGAACAGCGGGCGCGUGCGUCAAGUCCCUACAAAAGGCUGAAAUACAAUGAAUAUCCAGGGUCACCCUUGAAGAUGGGUGAACGCUACGCCGGGUCCUUGUUUGACUAGUACGGCGAUGCAUUCUGCCACCGCUAUGUCGUUGUCGAGAUUAGCGGAUCAAGACUUAGACUAGUAAAUUUCUUUUAUGCGCGUAAGGCUUCAGAUGGUGGCGUGGGAGACAUGGGUUUUAUACUAGUUCGGGCAAUGGAAUACCCUACGUCCAGUGUCUGGAGCUGCUUGUGUUGCCCACGCGGGGUUCUGUAGUAGGGGUUACAGGUGUGCGAGAGAGGGAGCUAAUCCCAGGUCUCUUAGGCGUGUUCCGGUCCUCUAGAUGGGAGAAGUGUGUUCUGUUUGCUUGGGAGUAUCGGUUGUGUCUGAGUUGUCUCCGGAGCCUCCUCCCGUCUCAGGUCCCCGAUUCUCCUUUCAUAGCACAAGGAGACCAUCGGGGUUACAGACGAGACCGAGCGUGGGGAGGAGUAAAGAGAUAAACAUAGCUAGGUAAAAAUACAACAAGAAAGGGGGGAACCAAGUUUCUAGGUCACCGGCGUCCUCGCCGGCCUUCGACUUCCGCCGGCGCAUUUGUCGGAGGAGGGUGGCCGCCAUCGCGUUCUGUCGAUGGCUUCCUCGGUGACUGUAGCCACCGGGCGUGAUGAUGGCAUUUCGUCGUGACCCUUUGUCUGUUGGGGGAGGCGGCGGAUCCUGCCAUUCUGCUGACGGCUCGCGGAGUGCGAACGUCGCAUCCCUGCCGCUGGGCACGCGGGGCGCGAGAACGUGCGAGGCUUCCCCCUACCCCAGGCGGCGCAGGCCAUGAGUGCCCUGUGGCAAAUCGGAGGAGGCCGCAGCUACUGUAGCUUGUACUGUGCAGCCACGUAUGGGUACUUGUGGCAGGUUGCGUGGUGGAUGCGGAUAUCCUUCUCCCUGACAGAUCUGCGGCGCAUUUAUGGCGAGAUCGACAUGGGGACCCACAAGACCCGCGCCCAAGGCGGAUACUUGUCUGGAGGGCCCGGGUUAGCCUGACCCCCUACGCUUGGGGUCGGGCGAGGCGGAGACUUGCGGCGGGGCGUCGGACGCUCCCGACACUAGACCUGCGGUCGCGCAAGGCGGAGCUUGGUCUUCCGGGGGUCGGGGGUGCCGGACCCCAGGAUGCGGGGUCGGGCGAGGUGGAGCGUAAUUCUUGCCUCCCAUGUUGGGCCGAUGGCAGUCUUUGUUACCUCUAGUGGGCUUGGGCCUUUAUGUUUUGUUGUUUCCAUGGGCUUCGAGAGGUCGUUAAUAUUUCCCCCCAACAGUAGCCCCCGAGCCUGUGGUGGAGUGGGGGCGCUCCUCCGGAGGCUACUAUCAUCGCCCCUAGGGAAUCCUCGCAGUUGAUCCGGGAUAGGAGGUGUUGUUUGCACGGCUUGACCGAGGGGGUCGAUUAGGCGACGCAUCCUGUGAGCGACUCGGUGCGGGAGGGUUUCUUGUUGUUCCCUUCUGUCUGAGAGCCUUAAGUCGAGACCACCUGCGUGGCCUUUGGUUGCAAGGCCAGCCCCCGAGCCCCCGCACGUUGCAGGGGACCGGUCGGAGGCUAGGUCGACUUUUGUUCAUUACCCUCAAGCGUCUGUUCGCUAGGACGGAGGGGGCGAGCCGUGCCAUGCUAUCCUCAUCGGACGAACCAUGGUGCUCAUUGAGUUACUAACGGGUUGAUUCGAGUGGGAUCCCGGUCCCCGUUCGGGGGGGGUCCGGCUUGGGCCAAGCUGGUGGCGUACCCCAGGCUCCGGUCGGCCAGUUCAUAUAGUUCCUGAGUCCGUUCGGUCGGACCGGGGGCUCAUUGCCUUUCUUCGGGGAAAAACCAUGAACUUUGAUGCCGGUCCAGACUCGAAUGUGAGAUUGAGACGCCCGGGGCUGUCGCGUGCCCGGGUGAUGGCCGCUAGCGGACCCGUCUCCUCUCACCCCUCACUCGGGGGUAUCCUGAGGCGGCUGUCGAACCCGUGGCGGGCCAGCCUUCGAACCUCUGGAUCGUAAUGGGCCGUAGGGGCGUUUUCAGCCCCGUAUCCCUUUUUACCUUUUGGUGGGCCUUGGGCCGAAUCAUGGAGGAGGUCGGGCCUUGGGCCGGAUGCGGAGGAUGUCGUGCCUUGGGCCGGAUGUGGGGGACGUCGUGCGUGUCUUCCGGGAGACGAAGUGGUGGAGGGUGCCAACCCGCGAAUCGAGGGAGGAGGGGAUGUUUCUACUGCAGGUCAUGCGCACGGUUUCCGAAAAGGCAGCGGGCGUGACGGGACGUACCUCGCGCCGCAUUUAUUGCGAUGGGGGCGUCUGUUCUGCUUCCCUCGUGCCUUCCCUAUAAAACGAGGACUUCGCCUCGCCGGUUCCGCCCGCCAUCUACCUUCAAGCCUUUUCGCCUCCUCGCGCGCCCUUAGCUUUCCUGUGCCCGCUUCGUCUUCCUCCGCCCAGUGCCGCGCCCUUUCUCCCCAUCCGCCGUCGAGUUCUUCUCCCUCCGGCGAUGGGAUCCUGGGCGCGUUCCCACUUCGGCCCCUCACGCGCCGAAGGCCUAGUGAGGAAAGGCCUCCUUUGCGAGAGGACGGAGACGGAUGAGUGGGGGUUCCCUGAGAUGGAAGAGGUGCCGACUCCGCCCACCGGCUACGUCGUUUCCUUUGCCCACUUCCACGAGAGGGGGUUUGCGACUCCGCCGAGCCUCUUCUUCCGCGGGCUUUUGUAUUACUACGGGCUUGAGCUGCAGCACCUCAACCCCAACGGGAUUCAGCACGUCGCGGCGUUCGUUGCGGUGUGCGAGGGGUUCCUGGGCAUUGAGCCCAACUUCUCGCUGUGGAAGUACUUCUUCACGGUCAGCCUAUACCAGAAGGCCGAGAAGAGGGGAAGCCAGCAGCGGUCGACCCCGGUGCCGAUAGGGUGCGUCGGAAUCCACCUCUGCCAUACUCGCGCCAAGGAGUAUAUCGCGAUGAAGACCGCGGCAUCCCACAAGGGGUGGCACCAGCAAUGGUUCUACGUGAAGAACUACUCCAACCCCCCCUGCCGGAGUUCACCGGCCGCAUUAUUGAAGCGGCGCCGGAGGUGUGGGUGUACGGCCCGGUGGAGAAGGAGAAGAAGCGGAUCACCGGCCUGCUGCAGGCCAUCGAGCACCUGAAGGAGAGGGGACUGACCGGAGCCGGAGUCAUCGGGGCGUACCACGCCCGGCGGGUGGCGCCGCUGAUGCUCCGGGUCCGCUCGCUCGCCGACAUGACCCCCGGUGCUCUCACCGAUGGCACUGUCCUCGCGACGGGUGCUCUCGCUGCCUCCGAGAUCCGGCAGCGGAUCCGGGAGGCGCUGGAGGACAAGGACGCCGAUUACCCGGUGCCCGGCCACCCUCCGAUGCGCCCGGACGAGAAUUUCAUUGAUCUGGUAAGGAUUUUGCGCGCCAGUUUCCCUCUCUUGCGUUUCUUGGUAUGCCGUUCUGACGCGAGGCCCUCUGUGUUUGCAGGGUAGCAUGACCCGGGUCGUCGACUUGCGUCCGCCAGUGUCGGAGGACGCCGAGUGGCGGUAGCAGAACCGUCUCCUUGCCGAGAAGCAAAAGUGACGCAAGGACAAGAGACAGCGAAGAAGAAGAAGAGGGCCGCCAAGGAGUUCCAGCGGCGGCGGUGGGGAUAGGUCGUGUCGGAUGACGAUGACGAUGAGAAGGAGGAGGAGGAUGACGAGGAGGAGGAGGAGUUUAUCCUGUCCCCCCGGUCAGGGGCGCUUGUUAUCCGGGAGCCGCGCUCCCAAGCGGCCAUGGGGGACAAGGCGGGCGAGCUGCCUGCCCGGACCCGAUCCUGCGAAGCUUUGGGGGCGCGCCCCAGGGGUCGGCGCAGAGCGCCCCCCGGGGGUCGACGGAGCCGACCCCCAUCCCUACACCUGCAGCCCAGGAGCAGAGGAGCAGCGACAAGCGGCCGUUGCCAGAUGCCCCGGGGUCGGCGUCCAGCUCAGAGGCGAAGCGCGCGCGCCGCCCUUGCGCUGGGGGAACGUGAGUUGAAUUUCCUUGCGAAUCUCGUUCCUUUCCAUGCAUUGUGUUUGUUUCCGCUGAUGCUGUUUGUUGUCUCACAGCACCGCCCCUCAAGGCCUUGUCCCGCCGUUGGCGCCAAAGAAGGCGUUGCGGUGUUGUCGCCUCUGCGGGGCGGACCGCGGCUCCGCCGGCGGCGAGUGGCGGGGUCACUGGUGAGACCGCGGGUCCUACCGCGGAGGUGGCCCCUGCGGCGGCAACCGGUGGAGUGGUGCCACCGCCGGGCAUGGGACAGGGUCUGGACCCCGCUCCGUCCUCCGCCUCUUCGGCCGACCCCGCGGUGCAGAGUAUCGCUCCUGGGGGCCCUCAGGCCGGGGAGGUGAUUGACCUCGACGCCGACGAGGUGGAGGAGACGGCGGCGGUGGAGACGGGGGCGGUUGCCCCAGCGGCCAUGACGGGGACGACGACGGCGACGGGGGAAGGAGAGUCUACCCCCGCGGCCACGGCGGGGACAGUGGCGACAGAGGAGGCGGGGACGCCCGCCCCGGCGGCUGCGACGGAGGAGGCGGCGGUGACGGAGACGGGGGCUUCCGCCCGGGAAGCCACAGCCGAGGUGGCAGCGGCGACGGAGGUGAAAGUGCCUGUUCUGGAGGCCACGGUGGGGGUGGGGACGCCUGCCUCGUGGCCACGACGGAGGGCGAGGCGGCCCCAGGGACACUUGCUCCGGCACCCGCGUUGGAGGCGGUGGCGCCGACGGGUUGGCCCGUGGCGGCCUCGACGGGGGCGGGGGUGCGUGCGCCGGGACCGUCGGUGAGGCCGGCGACUUCCGGGAUGGUGGUGCCCGUCUUGACGGCGGCGGCGGCGCGGUCGGCCCCCGCCCUUGCCUCUACCACUCCCAUUCCCAAGGCGUGGAGCGGAUCCGUCCUGCGUUGGUCGUCUCGUGACGACCCGCAGAGGCCCCUCUUCACGUUGGAUGAUGCCACAGAAUGGGGCAAGUGGCAGGCGCUGCAGGGCGGACUCGCUAACGUCCGCGCCGCUCUAUCUUCGGCGUUGGGGGAGCUGGACGGCGUCAUCUUCCCCGGUGGCCGGGUAUGGUGCUUUCUCCGUUGGUUAUUUUCUUCCCGUUACUUCGUCCCUGAUGGCACAUUGUUCUGCAGGCCCUCCAAGAAUGUAGCCGGGGAAAAUCUGAUUUCCUUUGGCUCGAGCAGGGGCUCUGGGAGCGCUUCAACUUGGAGUUGCAGCGGACCGGGGAGCUGACCAUGCAAGUCGCCACCGUCUAGCAUGUCAUCGACGAUCUGCGAAGGCACGAGCAGGCGGCACAGGAGGACGCGCGGCGGGCGGAGGCCAAGUUCCAGGUCGUUGCCGAAAGGGCUCGCUGCGACCGCGAGGAGUUCCAGGCCGUUGCCGAAAAGGCCCGCCACGACGCUGAGGAGCUCGCACGGCUGAAGGUGCAGCAUGAAGCUCUUCAGAAGAGCGGCAGAGGGCCUGGCAGGACCGGGACGCCGAGAAGGUCCGGAAGGAGGAGGCUGAGAAGGUGGCGGCCAACCUUGGGGCUGAGGUCAGCCAGCUCCAAGUGCAAGCGCGAGAGCUUCAGGCCUCCGUGGCCCAGGGGCUCGACCAGGAGCGCCAGCUGAAGGCCUAAUCCGAGGGUAUGACUCUGUUUAUUUCUUUGUCUUUGUGAUGUUGCGGUGAUAUUUUAUUUGGCGGGUUCUUCUGGAUGAUCCUUGCAGAUGAGCUCAACUGGCUGAGGGAGGUGCUUGACGCGGAGCGCGCUGAGCACGGCGACCUGCGGGACGCGGUCCGCGUCAUCUGUGACUUCCUUAGUGUGGUCCAGGGGGAGGGGACGAGCUCGCUGGCGGCUCGUGUCCUCGGGACGUACCGCCGGACCAGCGAGAUCGCCCUGGAAGCGCUUCGCACCGGCUUGAGGCAAGCCUUUGGGGUCUUCGGCUCCCACUAUUCCGGCAUCAACUUCGCCGGGAUGAGCGGGGGAUACGCCACCGGCUACUACGAGGCCGAGCUGGAUGAGAUCGACGUGUCGGUGCUCAGCCCGGCGGAGGCCUUGGUGAAGCUCCUCGAGGAUGAGGCCGUCCCGCCCGAAGAUCCCCGGACGAGUUAACUAUAUCGGGCUGGCGCCCCAGAUGUAAAUACGUUAGGGAAAGACUUGUUUUUUGUGAGGGCCGUAGAGGCCUUUUCUAUGAAUUGUCGUAAAAAAGUUUUUGAUUCCCUUUCUUGCUUUUUGGACUUGGAAAGUUUAGAGCACGUUGUCGGGCGUGUCAGUAAGCUUUGAUGAGCGAAGGCACCGUAGCCGCUGGGGCGUCGUUUUUUUUGCAGUCCGAUCAAUCUUGCCUGAACACCGUUCGUGCACUUUCUCCUUUUUAUGCCCAAAAGUUCAGAAAGAGGGUCGGCUCGGAAAGAGAAAGCGUUUUGAGAGGGUGUCAAGUGGCUUAGGUACUUGCGGCAGGUUGCGUGGUGGACGCGGAUAUCCUUCUCCCUGACAGAUCUGCGGCGCAUUUAUGGUGAGAUCAACAUGGGGACCCACAAGACCCGCGCCCAAGGCGGAUACUUGUCUGGAGGGCCCGGGUUAGCCCGACCCCCUACGCUUGGGGUCAGGCGAGGCGGAGACUUGCGGCGGGGGGUUGGACGCUCCUGACCCUAGACCUGCGGUCGGGCGAGGCGGAGCUUGGUCUUCCAGGGGUCGGGGGCGCCUUACCCCGGGAUGCGGGGUCGGGCGAGGCGGAGCGUAAUUCUUGCCUCCCAUGUUGGGCCGACGGCAAUCUUUGUUACCUUGGGUGGGCCUGGGCCUUUAUGUUUUGUUGUUUCCAUGGGCUUCGAGAGGUCGUUAAUAUUUCCCCCCAACACUAUGAGGAGGACUUGUGGGCAGAAAGUCAGCUACCACAAACUUGCCUCUGAAUAUUUGGAGUGCAAACAUUGGAUGGUGGUUGUGGAGAGCCCCAGCCAUACCUCGCACCCGUGGAGAGGUAAUUGUCGGAUUGCUUGGUUCGUCUCUAGAAUGCGACAAGGUCAGGCGCCACCUCUCACUGCUGCCAGUCAGAAGGCCGAGGGGCCAGUUUCAACAUAGUAAUGAGAAUCUCCGAAGGCCAAUAUGGUUAAGCAGCUAACCUCCAUGAUCAUAGACUUACGUUUAGAAAAUAGGAGGCUUAGCGAUGCGUUAACAGAGCAGAAGUUAGAAACAGAAGAACUUAAGGACGACUUCCGUGUCCUCCGCCUUGGUCUUUGUGCUAAGAUAAAGCGCUUGUACAAUGCCACGGGGAAUGACGGUCUCUACGAUGCAGCUCAAUAGACGUGCCCCUUGUAUCCUUUCCUUUAGGCACUUUAGAAUAUGUUUAUUUGUUUUCCUUCAUUUUAAUUUCCAAUAGAUUGUUAGCGCCUCCAAUUUAAUUUCAAUAAAGUGUAGACUCACCGGUCAUCCAACUUGAUGGAGUCCUUUUGUCACCUAGUUGUCUUUGGAAGAAGUAGCUGGGUACAAAAUAAGUGUGGGGGAGAGCCACAGACUCUCUAGAGCUGAAACAAUGCACAACACCCACAAAUAGAGAAAACCACGCUGCACCAGCACGUACGUGAAAGUGGAGCCAGAGCUGGACCCAUAGGGGUUUGGCCAACCCAAGGGGUGGCCCACUCGGGCCAUCUUCAUCCACCGCGUCGGUUUGUGUCUCUUUACCCCUGAUCUCCCUGAUUCAUGAGUUUGAAUGAAUUUUAAAUCUGAUCAACUAAUUCAAACUCAACUAAAAUGAAUCAACUGCUCCACCUGCUCUACAUGUUUUCUAUGGUUGGCUUGCAUAUGUUUUAUUUCAUGCUUAUCAUCUUGAUGCUUGUGAACAAAUAUCUUUAGGACAGCAUGCUCAUCUAAGUAGUUGAUGUGUAUGAUAUGGUUCGAUGAUAUGAUCUUCACUCUUAAUGCUUAAGUGCUUGGGAAAAUCUAUUUGAAAAUUUAAAAGCCUUUUUGAAAUCUCCUCUUUGAUGUGCCAAAGUCCUACCAAAGCCAUAUGAUAAGUUAUCUUGAAAAACCAUUUGCAUAUGUUGCUUGUCUUUGCAUUGAGCUUUGUCAAAUUGGUGUGACCCUUGUCACAAUUCUUUUCAUACUUUCAUGAUCAAGACUCAUGUGCACGCCAUAUACCCCUUGCUAUGCUUCUAUGAGAUGUUAGCAUUGUACCAUCCAUUCAUUCCACAAAAUAAAUGCUCCACCAUAUGUGUUGGUCUCCUUCUAAGAUUAUUGUUACAAAAGAGAUAUGGGCUAUCAAAAAAAAAUAUGAAUGUCCAAGAAAGUUGGACACAUGAAUGUCCAAUAAAAAGAAAAAGAAAGAUAGCCAUGUCCUCAGAAAUAUUUACAAAGGGAGAGAGAUCAUACAAAAAGGAGUUUCCAUUCCAUCCACCACAUCCAUACAUGUGCACAUCUUGAUCUGAUUGUAUGACUUAUUUUUCUCUUUGGAUCUGGUCUUUGACUUUGCAAUAUAUGUGAUGCAAGCAUGCCUUAUCCUUCAUAGCCUACCUUGAGCUCCACAUAUAGCCAUCAUUAGAAGUAGGAUGAAGAAAGGCAAGUCUAAUGCCUUGGUGAGGACAUAUACACAUUGAGUGAUCUGAGAGAAUCAAAUGAGGAGCUAAGCAAGGUUUUGUUUUGAAAACUAAUUGAAAAAUCCCAAGCUACUUGGCAUAAGGAGUUGAGGUGACUUGAUUCAAGACCAUUACAUUCCUCAACUACCCAAGAUGGCAUGAUAGACACUCCAAAGUUCACAAGUGCAGGUAUGGUUUGGAAUAUCUUUUAGGCUCGCUUCAUACCUUUGAAAGUUAUGUUUCACCUUAGUCCUUUCUCGUUCACUCAAGGAUAAGCAAAGGCUAAGUGUGGGGGUGUUGUUGAUGGCUCUUAAGUACAAAAUCUGCGCCAUCAACUCUUGCAUAAACACAUAAAAUAUGAGCAUCAACAAUAGUGGUAGGAGUUAUUACAAACGAAUUCCACAAGUCUUGGUGAAUAUUUGUAUGCAAGCCCAAUAGGAGAGAAAAGACACCUCAAAAGCAAGGAAACACACUCUCAACCAAUCAAGAGCAAGCACAUGGAACCAUGGGCCCACAACCAAAAGGAAAUCGACUACAUUCCAAACACCCUAUACCCACAUGAGAACCCAUAGGGCAGUGACCCAGAGCAAAGGUGAUGCCAGAGUGUAGAUGGUAGUUAGCAUGCCAAAUUUUGAACCGCAAGCGCUCGGAUUAGUUGUUUCUUUUCCCUUAGAGAUUCCCCCAAGGUUUAUCAAUCCAUGGAACAAGGGAUUUGCACGUUUCACUAAGCACUAAUCAAUGUAAUUGAAAGCUUUUCGAAUAAGAUAUGAUUAUGCUAACAAAGGAACUAAGCAAUCUAGAUUAAGAUGGAUAGAGAGUACAGGUUGUGAACAAGAUAGAUUAAACGCUUGUAGAUGCAAUCACCAUGCAUGAAUGAAUUAGAUCUAGGUGUUAUUGUGAGUGGUUGUGAACCAUGCCCAACACUUUCCCACCCGCAACAUUGUCACUACAUGUGGGUACUCAACUAUCGGAACAUAAGAACACAUCAAGAUGAUCAUUCUAGGUAAGCAAAUAAGCAACCCAAAGUAGCGCUGGCCAGCCUUUUCAUGAAAGAGCAUCAUCAAGAUAAGAUUGAUAACAAAAUAGAUCUCAACCAAAGGUUCAGCGAUUACAAAUCAAGAUCUUCGUAUAACCCCGAUGACAAAUAGAGGUAUUACCCCCAUGAUCUUACACAUGUUGAUGAAUUUUAGGGUAAAGGACACCCUGUAGAUCAACUGGACCAAAGAUGAUGAUGAACGGGGGCAGGGAAGGCCCAGGUUGAUCAGCCUGCGCACUUUUGAGCCGAUCAGCUCAGGGGGUUUCCUCCUCCCCUGGUGCUCCUCUUCGCGUGGCCUCCUCUGGAUCCAAUCUUCUCUUCAUUUCUCCUACUUGUGGCGGCAAUGGAUGGUGUUUGCAUGGUGAUUUCCUCUUCUCCCCAACUCUCCCUCCUUGAAGUCCAUGAGGGGGUAUUAAUAGUCUCCAAUAGGCGGCAGCUCUGGGUCAAUGUCAGUGAAAAAAUCCUAGAGAUCAUCGUACACUUCAUGCUGAGGAAACAAGAGGUUGACCGAGCCCUGGGAUAGACCAAGAGGAUCAUCCUAGAGGGUCCCAGGCUAAUCGGUCUAGGCCCUUCCUAGCCCUUCUAGUCCUCUCCUUCCUCGUGCUGGCUUUUCUCGAUGACCCUUGUCCAAAUAUCCAUGAAGCUCUAUAUACAUACCCCCUUGAUUAUGUUGUAUUUCCUGUCAAAAUACAAUGCUCCAAAAUACAACACAUAUGCAAUAAUAGGGUUAUUUCAGGUGCCAAUUGGUGGGUUAGUAUACGAAUAAGCAUGAAAAUACUGUUUAAAUGACACUAAAAGUGUGUCAAUAACGAGCACCAACAAUCCCCCCACGCUUAGAUCUUGCUCGUCCUCGAGCAAGUCUAGCGACUAAAAGAUCUUGAAUUAAACCUGAGCAAGCGAGUCAAGUACCUAGCCUUGAAACAAAAGAUUAGAGGAGCAGCAAAGAUAAUCAAAGUCUGGGUGUUCAAAGAUUUAUCUAAGCAAAGAUUCCCCUACAACUAUUAUUCAGAACCAAGUAACUUCAAAAAUCAACUACACUUAUUUUCUGGCUUUUUUCAGAGGGUUUUUCUUUCAUCAUAAAACAAUCUCCCUGCAACAAAAUUGAAAAAAGAAUUAUUUUCAAGGUGCUUACAUGUCGCUUAAAUGAAUGUUGGCUAUCCUACUUAUUUGCAAGCUCUCAUCUCUCAAAAUUCAUUCAAUUAUAUGGUGGAGUUUGGGUAAGGUUAGCUAGAAUCAACACGUAUAUUAUUGAAUUAAGAAAACCCUCUAACGGUGGCCUACCUUCCGAGCCAUUGAUCAUAAGAAUAUCCACAUAAUGUGAAGUUUUCAAGGAUGAGAAGAUAUAGAAUGGUGGACAUGUGCAAAGGCAAAGAAAUAUAGUGACUCUGAGGCACAAGCAAUGUCCUCGUCGUUGGAUUGCAUAUGGUUGUAAUGAAAAUAUGUUCCUUAAACAAGUCUAUCUUUUCUUUGCACCACUCUUGAUCUUCAUGACAGUAAAAACUCCUCCUUUAUUUCUUUCUCUCUUUUCCUAUUAUUUCUUUUUAUUUGUCUCAAUACUUUUAUUUCUUUAUUUCUUUAUUUUAAUCUCUUCUCUGAACCUCUUCUGAACACCACAUAAUAAAAAUAAGUUUUAGAUCCUUCCAGAGACCUUCCAGGAAUUUGCUACAUGAAAACCGAGGCAAGGAGACCCCAGGCCGAUUGGCCUAGCCACUCCUUUGCUCUCCUCUAGCUCUUCUUUCUGGUGAAGCUUCCUUAUCUUGUAUCUUUCCAAAAAUUUCAUAAAGCUCGACUAGAAACGGAACAGAUCUUCAUAUAAUGAGUUGUGUUCAAGGAAUUGGUAAUAAAAUUGAGAAAUUUGUGGUUCGGGUUUACGAAUUCAGUACAAAAAUAUGAUUGUUCCAAUGAAGAACUCUCAUUACUGAAUAUUGACGAGGCAAGCAUUCAAAGAUGGUAAAAAGGAUAUGAUCAAUUCUCAAAAUUAAAGCAAACCAAGAGAGAGCGAUCCUAAUUCAAUUCAAAGUGUCAAAUGUUGCUUAUGGUGGUAUGAAUAAAUAUUUUUAGGCAUUGGGUAGGAUAAAUAAAAACUCUCAACCUGGUUAAAAGAUAUUGAUCAAUCUUGUUUUUGCAGAGGUUUUAAAUAAAAAAUAAAAUUUUAAAUCACCUCCAAUUCAAAGCCUUACUCAUAAAUCAUAAUCAAAACUGAAGCACUUGAUCAUCAUAAAGCAUGGGUAUUGCAUAAACAAAUCGAUUACUAAAACUCCACAACUACGAUUUAGAAUUCAAGACAAUGCUCAUAAUCUAAAGUUGCAAAGAUAAAAUAAAAGACAACCAAGCCAAGGUAGACACUAAAAACACUUGCACGAUCCUUGAAUUUUAUUCAUGCUUCUUCUCACAAAGACGCUAAAGUAGCCAUGUAGGCCUAAGUCUUCCCAAAAGCUUAAGAAAACUACUACUUUAUCUACUUUUGGUUGAAAUAAAAAGACUAAUCUAGACUCUCACAUGAUUCGACUCGACCAAAUUAGAUCCAAAAACUCAUACGAGCGACGAUCUCCCCCCCCUCACGCUUAAAAUCUACGACCUCCUCGUCGUAGCCAUAUGGAGUACAAGGAAAAGAAGCUUGUAAACGCUCUAAUGACGCUACCCGCACUACUUGCACACGGGAUGGUUGCUGCUUCCUUCGCUUUGUUCUUCCUCAUGUUGCUGCACAUCCCGAAGAGCUUCCUCACGUUCCUCUGCAAGAACUUGAACUCGUCCUCCUGACGGCGAUCAUUAUCUUCUGCCUUUUGAUCCAGAGCUUGUAAGGCUUGCAUGAUGUCAUCGAACGCAUCGAAGAGGUAGUGGAUGUUCUUCCUGCAAGCUGUGGAACAUGUACGAUCAUGCUCCUCCGAUUCUGGCCCGUCGUCUUCUAGAUCCUUCUCUUUGCCCUUGUCUUGACGGUGGCUAUCUUGCUCCUUGCUCGCCUUCUUGCCUUCAGCCCAAUCCCAGUACGUGUUGUCAUCUUCUUCAUCGUCACGGCCUGCAGCACCCUAUGAUCCAUUGUCUAUCUUGUAUGAAAGAAUCAGAAGCUUGUUCUCCUCAGGGUGUCUUGCGCGGUGCAGCGUUUGCAAGUGCAAGACUUGCUAGUUCCUUUUACACAUUGUAAUGUUCAUUGCAUGCUCUAAUUGUUCUACAUUUGUAAUUUCUUGGUGAAGUUUGGUUACUGAUCCACUGUUUGAUUAACUCUUGGGCCCAAACACUGUACUACUUCUGAUUAGAUAUCUGUAUCUUGACUUUGACCAAAAAAAAUAUCCGGCAGUUUUUGCCAUUAAAGUUUCAUAAAUCAUCUUGCAAAAAUCGUACUAUACAACAAGGGACGGUUUAUUAUAAAAUAUACGUUCCCCUUAUCACAUGCCACUUCCACUCAAAAGGCAACGAAUCAGUUUUCAAUCCUGAGUGAGCAAUUUGCUUUUAUUACCGAUGCCUCCUAUUCCCUUGUGCACCAAGUUUAUUUUGGAUAGGGCUGCAAAAAACGACUAACCAGCUCGGAUUCUCCACCUGCAAAACCGCAUCUGCAGCAACCAACCCCACGCGGUGGAAAAAAAAACAAAACCUAGAAACCGGACGGGGGUGGAUGUGGGGCUCGGAGCCCAAGCAAAAAACGGAUCGGGAGCGCCGGAGCAGGCCAUCACCGGAUGUUAGAGAUAGAAAAUGGUUGAAGUUUGGAGUGGAAAUCAAACAAGCCUUGGAGCAAAGGAAAAAAAAAGAUCAAACCACUCAAGCAUUCAUUUGAUUUAGAAAAGAGAACAUUUGUUAAGGUGGGGAGUUGAAAUCAUCUUUUAAUUAGUUCCACGUAUCUGGUAUCAUUACAGUUGGUUUACUUGUGUAAGUAUAAGUAGCUCUGCCGAAGCCUUUGCUCCUAUAAUUUAGUAACUAGUACAAAUGGAUCAAUAGGAAAAUCAAGUUGCAAUCAUUUCUCAGCCAACCAAACCUAUGUAAAUCAAAUUAUUGUCCAUGCCCGGCAUGCACAGGUGCCUGCCAUGCAUGCAUUGUUGCUCCAUUGUAAUAACCAUUAUUGUCCAUCGAUGUUGCAGCGCAUGUGUGCACUGUGCAGACACCAAGCAUCGAGAUUAUGUACUAGUAAGGUGUUGAAAUAAUGGGCCUAGCCCAUAAGUAAUUUCAGAAUUUCAAAUAAAUCUCAAAGGCCCAUGUGGGCAAGAGGUGGAGUGGUGCAAGUCUUUAGUCCCACAUUGCUAGUCGAGGGGAGGGAUGACCAACUUAAAUAUGGAAGUUGUCUCCACUCCUCCAAGCUAUGUGUGAAGGGCGCGGGCGCGAGGCACUUGCGUGAAUGGUCCGCCGAAAUCUGGCCCCCCUUGCGGGGGCGCGGCUUCCUUUUGCCGUUUUAUUUUUUGGUUACUUGGUCGUUAAGUCAUGGAAUCCUAACCGGUUUAGAUCACGAUCGUGAAGGUUUUUGGGAAGCGCUCUGCGCGACUGCUCGAUCGCUUCUUCCGCUUCGUCAAGUUCUUCGUCGACUCCUUCACCACGGCUCGUCUACCUCUUCGUCGCUCGGGCCUCACUCGUCGUCGCGAACAACGUCAGGCUGCUGAUCGUCGUCGCCUGCUGUAUCCGGUAGUCGUCCAGGAGCCGGUUUUCAUCAAGAAAGAAACGUACGGUCUCUUAACUCACAUUAUGUCUUCCAUACUAGCUAUUAUGAUUGUUGCAGUCUGAUAGCUCUGGAUAGUAUGGUAGAAUGUCUGAUUCUAUUUGCAAUGAUAGACUUGUCUAGAUCUUGCGUAGACAUGUCUAGUUUAAUCUGCUGCUUGUUCAUCAUAUUCAUGAUUUAUUUCUGGAUUAAGUUAAAACUAAAAGUGCUUAUAUAUCCAACAUAAGGUACCAAGAACACGUGAAGCACCCGGGGGAGGCUGCUCCACUCCGCAUGCACAGGUGGGCACGGCACCACUACUCGUCUCCUUCAGGCUGAGGAUAAGUGAUGUACGCUGAUCAACAGACCACGACGGAACCAGCAAUAAUAGUUUCAGCCUGCCUCACAGUAAUUAAUAUAUCCUGUAUCCUCCGAGGACCCCUCCCCUUAAUCUUGGCCUAUUGCAUCCAAUAAUGAUAUGUGUGUUUAUCCAAAUUUACGGCACCUUUGGCGGGGGUUCCACCCAGCUCCGCCCUCUCCACCUUCGGUACUCCAUGGGAAACCAUUCCUUUGGAAUCAAGGAAGCUUGAACAGUAUAACGAAUAAAGUUUCAUAUAUCCAUUUGAUUUCACAUGAAAUAAAAUAUUCUGUCAGAACCAAUGGUUUCACUGAAGCUCCAGGCAGCGAGCGAAGGGGUGAGAGAGGAUAACGCUUACUGUGUGUUACCAUCGCGUGCACCAUGGAUGACCAACGCGCAGCCGAGAUGAAACGGCGGACCUAAACAGGUCCUCGCUAUUUUUGCAGGUUCUCGACCAGGCCAGUUCUUUAGGCCAACCUAUCAUUCACGAGUUAAACAUACGGUGGCUGGAGAAAUGUUCUAUUCUUUUAAACAAUACCAGCUGGUUCCUCCGUUUUUAUUCCACCAAUACAAGCACCACCUUGUAACAUUUCCUAUGUUUUUUUUCCUUUCGUCUGUUUUCUCACUACAUGCGUUGCUCUUUCAUGCAUUUUUUUCCAUUCCUGUAUUCCAAAUAGGUCUACAUGAACACAAAAUGAACUAGGGGACAGAAAAAGCCAGUGAAGUUAGUUUUGAGCUUCACCAGCUACUUGCUACAUAAAGUGUGCUAUAGUCGCAGAAAAGCUAAGCUGGAUCAGACGUGGCCGAAACAAUGCCAAAGAGCUAGGUCCCUAGCUGAUGGCAACACAUCAGAUGACUAGCCUGCUUUUCUGUAAUAAUGAUAUUGAGCAAUACACUGCAUGGCUAACCUGCUUUACAAUAAUUGUCAUUUUAUAAUAUUGGUCAUCACGAGAGAUGCACAUUGCAUACACCGGCCCAUCCCUAUAAAUAGCCAAGCCUUUCAGCCAUCUUGGGCACCUCCUCUCAGGGCCUCGUCUCACCAUCAGACAUCUCGUUCCCAGUUAUAAUUUGCGAGGUUAGAUCAGGCUGCGCCAUGGCGUCCGCAACUGCUGUCAAGAUCGUCGCCACCUUCAUGCUGGUGCUGACCAUGGGCCACCUGAUGGCCGAAGCAUCACCGCAGCCUCGGCGUGUGCUUGCAGAAACGGAGCAUGCUGCGGUGUCCGGGAAUCCUGGCCUCCCAGGUGAUGCUAGCGUCAUGCAGGUCCUCGAACCCGCCCUAGUUUCUCGGCUUGCCUGCAAACCAGAGUGCACAGUCCCUUGGCCUCCUUUUGUAUGUAUCUGCUAGAUCCUCUUCCUGGCUCAACGGAACUUCAGGGAAAUGGCUGUGACGUCGGCCAAAGAAUAAAUUGGAUGAACAUAAUAUACCCCGGGUAGUGUAGCUUGGGCUUUUGUUGAGCGUCUGGUGCUAGUUGUAUUUUGUUUGCUCAUGUGGCUUUGCUUCUGGUUGCAUAUUGGCUUUCCUAUCGCUCUCUGUUGCAGCUAUGGUUUCUGCCAGGUGUGUGUUAAUGCGGUUUGUAAGCGGUGCUUGUUCCUACCUUCUGUUUUCAAUAAAAGAAGUCGGAGUCUCCCUCCGACUCUUGUUAUCAGUCAACAAAAAUGAGUUGUAUCAUAUAUAUCUGCGUCUUUUUUCUACGUAUCUUUGGGCUGCUUCAGCUGGAAGUUUAUCGUAAGUACGUGUAUCAGGAUGAUCGUUUGAAUUAAAACGAAAUGAUAAUGUGUGGCUGCUAGAAAUGGAAUGAGCAUCUUACUAUAUUACUAAUUGGAAGCCUCCACGUGAAGCCACCUAGAAAUUCUAGGUGGACGUUUUAAAAAAAACAAAACUCAUAGAAGCCUCCACCACCUAGGAAUCCUAGGUGGACACUCUAAAAAGAGACAAAUCCUAGAAAUUCUAAAAAAAGAAAAAAAUAAUAACAAUAAGAUUUUUUUGCAGUCAAUUACAUAUAUUUUUUUGAGACACCGUGCUGCUAGCUCUUGCCAUUGCGACCAGUAAAGCAAGCAGAUAGUAAGAUGACAUGCGUGUGGAUUGAUUAAAACAAAUUCAGUUAGUUGAUUCUAAAUCGUAUGUAUCCUAAAAGGAAGAUAUGUGCGUGCAUGGUCCCUAGCGAUGACAUGUAGACAUGUAUUGCAAUUUCUUUUUUAAAAAACAUGUCUAUCUCUAAACCAACAAACAGAAAAAAUAUCAAUCUAAAUCUAAAUCUCUUCCGUUCUCACACGCCUAUUAAAGAGAAGACAACCAAUCCCAUCCAUGUUCCAUAGAAUCCAUCUAAAAGCUUGCUCACUGCGGACGGCAUUUGACGGCAAAUCAAUGAAAGAUCAUCCUCUCCAAAUAGCUGGACGGCAUCACCAUCUUUAUCUCACCAACCUACAGAGCUACAACGAUGUUGUAGAGAUCAACUAGGUAACCUACCAAUCACCCUCCCCUUUUCUAUAUGCUCUAAAGAACACGUGGAGUAAUUAUAGGCCUAUAGGAGCCGACUAACCUAGAUUAAUAUGAAAAAUAUUCCAAUAUUAAAAGCAAGCAGAUAGUAAUACUUGCCUUUGACCAUUUUUCUAGAACUGUUAUUCCUAUUGAAUGUUCAAGUGCUACGGCCAGGCAUCGAAUGCCUGCACGGAACCUUCCUAUUGAAUGGUUACUCUAGAGAUCAACGCACCGCGAGACAUUUUUAUGGAAUUUGUUUGAUUCCCCUUCUACAAUUAGAUUAAUUUUUCAUGGCAUAUAUUACUACUAUUAAAUUAUUUGUUUAUUGUCGGGCCUGCUGCAUGUGUGGUAUAUAUGACUUGCUUCUCACCAUUGUUCUCAAACUAUUAUUCCUAUCGAAUCUUUCUAUCGAAAUAUAUUUUAAUUACUUGAUUGUUGUUUGUGUACCAUAACUUCUGUAUAGAAAAAUUCCAUGUUUGUAGAUAAUGUCUUUUGUAUAGAAAAAUAGCCCAAUUAGAUCCAUCACCAUCUUUUGCUUAUGUAGUUGAACAAGUUGCAAUGUUGAACAAAACUUUAAGUGAAAUUAGACCAGGAAAAGGAAUUGUGGAACAUUAAGGCAAGGGUAACCAGAUUGUGGAAUGCAACCUUACUCAGUAGUGGCGAACAAUUAAGUCUUGACAUGAUCCUUAUUGAUCAAAAGGUAUGAUAGAUGUUCACUUUGAUUGCAUUAUUGGUAUAAUUUUUGGUUUACAAAUUAUUAAUGAUGAUGCAAAAUUAGGGAACCAUGAUCCACGGUGUUAUCAAUAAGCCCUAUAUGAAAAAGUUCAAACCAUUGAUUGAAGAAGGCAAUGUGUACAUAAUUGCAAAUGUCAGAAUCACACCAGAACCACAGAAGUAUCGGCCAGUGGAAAAUGACAGGAUAGUCAACUUCUUACCCACAACUGCACUAAAAACGAUCAAAGAUACUGAAGACAUUCCAAAGUAUAGUUUUAACUUCAUGAGCACGGAUAUGCUUUCAGCAAGAAUAAAUGUGGACAUGUACCUAUUAGGUAAAACAUUACUGGCUUUUCAAUUUUUACACUUCCACUCAUUAAAUGACCAUCUAAUAAUAAUACAUAUUUAUGUUUCAUAGAUGUUAUAGGUAUCUCAGCUCACAUUGGACCGAUAGAAGAAACAAGGACAAACUUCGGAUUUACUAAAAUCCGUGAUAUUGUGCUCCUGAUCGAGUAAUUCUCUUUUCUUUUGUAGAAAACAACUACAAAACUUUCAACAUUUACAUGUAUGUUAUAGAACUUCUGUUGAACUAAAAAAUAUCUUCUACAGUGCCCCUACAAAUAAUUAAUUUCGUAGUUGGAUAUUUAAAAUAUUUAUUAUUCACUUUUAAAUUUGUGGCCAUGAAGUUAAAGUUAGAUUUUGGGGAGACAAAGUUGAGGAAGUUGAUGAUAAGACAAAAUCCCAUGUCAUUGCAAUAACAUCUACAACUGUGAGUAAAUUUGGCAGUAAGUCUUCAUUCAAUAUGAGUUAUUCAAUAUUAGUCAUUCAACAAACUAACCUCGUAAGAAAAAUAAAUAAUUGAUGUUUUAUCAGGGUAUUCUCUAUCGUCAACCAAUGCAACAAAACUUUAUGUAGAUCUACCUAUUCCUGAAACUAAGGAUGCACAUGAUAGGUGAGAAAAAUUAGAUAUUGUUUUUCUAUUUUAAUCUAUGUAGCAUGCACUCUAACAUGAUACAUUCUUUCAUAUGAUAAAAAAAUGUUAGUUCAAUUGAAAAUAUUGUCAAAGAGAUUCAUAUUGAGGACCAUCUAAAAGGGACAUUGGAAGACCAAAUGCAGUACAAUAGAAGAACUUUAGAAGAAUUAAAUUUCAUAUUAUUUGAAACAUCAAAUCAGGUAUGGAUUAGUAUGUUCAUUGUACACUAUACUAUUUAAAGACUUACAUACAUAAUGAUGGUAUUGUUCCUACUUUCAGGAUGAGGUAUUUACUAUUGAAGCAACAAUAAAUGAAAUUAAUGCAACAUAUGGUUGGUUGUCACACCCGAUUUUAAGGACAAAAUUGAGUGCAUUAAAUACAUGUGCACCAGGAUCAAGUUACACACAUCCUAUGAGUACCGUCCUUCUUUGGCACAAAGAUAACCGGUGCUCCCCAUGGUGAUGAACUAGGCCGAAUAAACUAUUUUGCUGAUAAUUCCUCUAGUUGUUGUUUCAAUUCUUUUAAUUGUUCAACCAACAUUCUAUAAGGACGUUUGGAGAUAGGUGCAGUACCAGGUAAAAGAUCAAUAGCAAAUUCAAUGUCGCGGUCAGGUGGCAUACCUGGUAAAUCGUCGGGGAACACAUCCGGAUAGUCACACACCACUUUGAUAUCUUCCAAGGAUUUUCCAGCCAACUGAUUAACUGCACAAUCUGCUGCUGAGGGUAGAGUAGCUACAAACUCCACUUUCUCUCCAUCAGGACCUGUUAGCAGAACUGUCCUCUUGGCACACUGAAUCGUUGCAUCAAAAGCGGCUAACCACCUCAUCCCCAGAAUUACAUCGAUUCCACUGGACUCAAGGACGAUAAGAUCAGCCGGAAACUCUAUACCCAUUAUUCUCAGUUUAACUUGUGGACAGAUGUAUUGAGCCUUCAUUGACCCCCCAGGUGAACUCACUAGCAUAUGACGCCUCAUGGUAUGCAUGGGUAAAUUAUGCUUUGCUACAUAAUGACUAGUGACAAAAGAAUGCGAUGCUCCAGAGUCAAAUAAAACUGAUGCGGGGGCAGAGUUGACAAAGAACAUACCAAGCACUACAUCUGGAGCCUCCUUAGCAGUCUCGGCUUCCAUGUGGUUCACCUUGCCACAAACAAAGCUUUGCUGCCCCUGAUUGCCUUGUGGGGUCUGGUUCCCAUUCCUCGGUUGCUGCAUCUGAUUCUGCCGAGGAGCACUGCUGUUCUGCACGGGGGUAGCUGGCCCACCUCUCUUAGGACAAGAGCUGGCAUAGUGACCAACCUCGCCACACUUGAAGCAGGUAGGACCCACUGGAGCAUUGGGCCUUGUUGGAGUGCCAGUAGGGGUCAUCUGGCGGUUCUGCGUAAAGCUUGGGCGCGGAGUCUGCAUAGUCUGCAUCCCUGGAUGCUGGAACUGAGGGCUAGGGCGCUGGAAUGACUGCUGAGCAGGGCGCGGAAAUGAGUGCUGCCAAAAAUUCCCACUCGGGCCCCCUGCGCGGAACGGCGUCCCUUGCUGUGGAGCAAAGCGAGGGCGGGUGUUGCUUCCUGAAGACUACUGGGAAUUGAAUUUCCUCUUCAUCUCCCCGAGCUCGUUCCUCUUGUGUUCCAGGCCAAUUGCCUUGUCUAGCAUCUUCUGGAAACUGGGGAAGGUGUGCGACAUAAGCUGAUAUUGGAGUGGUCCAAUCAACCCAUCCAAGAAUAGCUCCUGCUUCUGCUCAUCAUCAGCAACAUCUUCGGGAGCAUAUCGGGACAACUGGACAAACUUGUCCCUGUACUCUGCCACUGUCAUGUUCCCCUGCUUGAGAGCAAGGAACUCCUUCUUCUUAAGCUUCAUCAAUCCGGAAGGAAUAUGAUGACUUCUGAAGCUAGUCCUGAAUUCAUCCCAGGUGAUGCCAUUAGCAUUGGCAUGGGUGGUGGUGUAAGCAUCCCACCAAUCAGCAGCUGGCCCUUCCAGGCGUCCUGAAGCAUACAGGACCUUCUCCCUGUCAGUACAUUGGGCGAUAUCCAGCAUCUUCUCCACUGUUUUCAGCCAAUCAUCAGCAUCUAAUGGAUCCGGAGAAUGUGAAAACGUCGGGGGCUUGUGGCUCAUGAACUCCCUAUGCCUGUCCCUUGGCGGCGGCUGCUGCUGGUUGUUGUUGUUGUUAUUGUUCAGCUGAGCUUGUAAAGCUGCCACGGUGUUGGUCAGUCCGGCGAGAAGCUGAGUCUGAGCUGCUAGAAACUGCUCCAUCCCUGCAGGUGCUUGUUGGUUCUGUUGCGGAGCGGUGUUGGGAUUGCUGCUGUUGUCCCUGUGGCGUGGCACUGUGGGACGGUCAACUCCUGAUCCGGACCUGGUGUUUACCAUCUGAGCGUUAGAGACAAUGGAUUUAGAUAGAUGUGUGAAAGAAUAACUGAGAAAGAUAAAGCGACCAGAUGUAAAAGUAACACAGAUUCUGUUAGCUCCAUUUAAUUAGGUGUGGUCGUCAGAAGAAGUGUCCAUAAAUUCUGAACAAUUACCAAGUCGUAACUUAUUAAAUUUGUAAACCAACCCAACUGGAAUCAUCUCAAUCGGACUUCUGGAUCUCGAGUUACAAAAUUAACAAGCUGACAGUGUCGGUCGAUAGGUUCAGAUUCUGAGUGCUUUACUAAUUCGCAUACACCUCCCAGACAGAUACACCAAAAAUUCUGAAAAAUUUACAGAUAGUACUCCACGAAAUUCUGAAACUAACCCCACUGGUUUCAUGUCAUUUGGACUUCUGUAGCUAGAGAUAUAAAUAAAAAAGUACUGGCGUGUCAGUUAAUGUCGAGAACAGAAUUGAAUGUCGCUUAGCUUGCGUGAUGGAUAGAUUUAGACAGAUGGUAGAUCAUGAUUAAGGAAGAUUAAAUACUGAUUUAGAACAGAAAUAAAACCCAACUAAGCACUUUAUUUAUUAAGACCAGUAUCGUGUGGCAAUUGCCCCACAUACCGCACUCAUUACAAAAUCCAACUCAAACAUGUAGCACAAAACCAAUCAUCUAAGCACACUUUAACUAACACACUCGAACGACGUCUAACGAUUACAAGAAUUUAAACUAAAACACUCCUAAUUUCCUAGAGGUCUUCUGCGGCGGUGCCGGGCGAGUCGUAGCGGGGACGCUUAGGCGACGGCGACGAAGCGGGAUGAACAGCAAACUCCUGCGGCGGCGGUGCUCCCGUCGCGGCAGCCAUAUUCGCAUCCCUCUCCCACCGGAGUUCCUGAACCUCCUGUUGAAGCUCCUGGAUGUGGUUGUUUGCUUCAUUCAAUGCGGUGAGAGCUGCCGACGUGUACUUGCGGAGGAAGUCUGUAGCCAUGUCAACCCCAUCGUUAGUAGCGAUGAAGGUUCUUGCUUCCCCACUAGCUCGGUAAGGAAGGAACCGAUGGUAAGUGUGCUGCAAUCGCGGCCGUUCCUUGUGGGAGACGACCUCAAGUGCCCUCCUGGCGGCCUCGGCAAUGCCGGAUUCCAUGGUCCUCCUUAUGGUCACAUCAUGGUGAAAAGCCUUCACCUCCCAUCCUCCCUCGUGCUCCUCACGAAGGACAACCUUCACCUCCCAAAAAGUGGGAUAGCGAGGGUGGGUGAACCGGGAGCACUUGUAGAGUGGCCUCAUGCCGUACCCCAAGCGGUGACAAGUCCACCUGAGUAUGUCGGCCAUGUGCACUCCUUGGCCAUAAUCUUCCUUCACCCAUUUGAUCCAUGUCUCGGGCUCGGGAUCUGCUUCGGGCUCAUCAUCCGUCAAGUCGACGACCGGUACGGGCGUCGGGGCUGGUGCAGGAGCGGGCGCCGGUGCUGGCGACGGUGCUGGUGACGGCGUGGUCUCCUGCUCCACGGUCACGGCGUCCCCGUCAGAGUCAUCCCCCGGAUGCUGGAAGAUCUCUUCCUCUUCUUCCUCGUCCCAAGGCUCCAUGGGGGCGUACGACGGCGCGAUGCCAUGACGCGGCGGACGGGUGCUCUUGCGUGCGGUCAACCGGGUGCGAGCCAUCUAACAGAAAGAAAGAAGAAAAUUUUAGAAUAAAAUUUUGAACAAAGCUAGAUAAUAAAAUAGCAAUAAGGAUGAGACAAAUCAAGUUUAAGAAUAAUUAAGUAGAUUUAAAUUAAGAAAGGUAGGAAUGGCUACUAGAUUAUUAUAAUCCUUAAAUACGACCAUUUUCUAACUAGGCUAACGUCCUACAGUCAACACGGCUCUGGUACCACUUUUGUCACACCCGAUUUUAAGGACAAAAUCGAGUGCAUUAAAUACAUGUGCGCCAGGAUCAAGUUACACACAUGUACGACAAUAGUGAAUAGUAAAGCCAGUGCUAAAUCGAAUAAAGAGAGUAUUAACCAUUAUUACAUGACCGAAUGUCUCAAAUAAACCACAAAGUCUAAUUAUUACGCAGCGGAACUCCAAAGAUGACGACGACUCCAUAGGCAGCUGACUGAAGAAACGUACGCCUAGAACUCCUCGAAGUCGUGGAAGUACUCCUCUUCCCAAUUAACUUGGUCUGAACAGCGGUUUUGCAAGGGUGAGUACACUUAUGGUUGGUACUCAACAAGUCGUGGGAAGUAGUGUAGUGUAAGGCUAAUUCAAGGUAUGGCUAAGGCGUAAAUAGCAUUCGCUUUUAAUUAAGUUGGUCAAAUUUUAUUAGCAUUUACUAAGUAUAAGUUCAUACCACCCGAAAUUAAACAUGAACAUAAAGUAAACCACAUGUGCAUGAAAUGAUAACAAAUUAAAUCCAUCUUCCGAUAAUAUUAUCAUGUGAGGGUCCAGGCCGCUCUUAACCGUGAGCACGGCUGAUUGAUCAGUUUAACACUCUGCAGAGGUGGCACAUCUUUACCCACAAGUCGCGUAAAAGUUCAAAAGAACUUUGGACCCAACCAUGCGGUGUUUGCAAGGCACCAUACCACACUUCCGAGGUGUGAUUGCAUAGGGACGCUACGAGGCCUUUACAAAGAUUCAUUAAUCAGUGGUAACCCGCUAAGGUUUCGGUGUCUGGCGUGCACCACCCAUCCCAGGUAAAAUGCAACGACUCAGUCCCCCCCCUUGAAUCAUCACGAGUAAGGUCACCCCAGACUAAGGUUUCUAAUUAAUCAGCCAAGACCAGAGCUAUUUAGUCUUGUGGUAGCACUGUUUUCCUGGGUGGUCGCUCCAUGUUCUGAUUAACAAAUAAUGAUCUUGUCUUAAUGAAAGGUAUAACAGAAAUAAGGCAAGAUUAAGCAUUGUUUUUAGUUAAACCACCAUGUACCAAGUAAGCACUAAGCAUGAGCUACCCAACAUAAAGUAAACCGGUUGGUCAAGGCAAAGGUAAAACAAUCUAGGCCAACCUUAAUUGGGACCCAUCAAUUUAAUCUUAAUAUGUGCACAGCAUAAAUGUUGAGUACGAGAAAGUAAAGGUGUAUAGGACAAAAAGGUAGUGAUCAAGGACACGACUUGCCUUCUUGGCCUUGCUCCUGCUGUUCGUACUCCUCGAAGGCUUGAUCGGCAACUCCCUCGAACUGCGGGGCGUCUACACGCAUCACACGAGCACAUACAAGCAAACAUGGGCAAAAGUAAGAAAACAGUAUACCAAACAUAGUCAAACAGAGAAAACAAGCUUGAAAAGAUGAUCUACGCUUUAAAACGAACACGCGGAUAUAAAGAACGCGAAAAACGGAGUUAAGAUGCAAAAGAUAUGAUUAAAACAAAAUCCAGGGACUUUUCUGUAAGAAAAACAAAACUUUUAGGGCCUAUCCGCGAAAACCGAGGGCUUAUACGUAAUUAUGCGUAUAAACCGAGGGUCUGAUGCGUAAAAACAUCAAACCCGGACGGCGGGUUGAUUUCUGGAAAGGUCAAGGGUUAAACCGAAAAAUGCGAGGGCAGAUCUGUAAAUACUUUCAACGCGAUCUGGACCGCGGGUUGAUUUGCGAAAAAGGCGGGGGCUAAAGUGCAAAAACUGCACGGCGCGGCUCGGUUGACCGGUACGCGAUCUUGAUUGACUCGCGUCCGGCCGUCGGAUUAAGAUCCGACGGUCGCGGUGAUCCGCGACAUCGCGGCGGCGGCGGCGAGCGGCGGCGAGCGGCGGCAAGCGGCGGCGGGUCGCCGGAGUUAGGCAAAAUAGCGCCACGAGGCACGGUUUAACGCGCGGGUUGCACCAAAAAAGAGAGGGGAACACGUCGAUCCCGUUUUGGGGGUUCUUGUCGACGGGGGCUCACCGGCGACGGCGAACGGCGGCGAGGAAGAGGCGGCGGCGCUAGGAGCUCGGGCGGCUAGGGUUUCGGGGAGCUGCGGCGCUGGUUUUGGGCGGAGGAGACUGGGAGGAGGCGGCGGCUUUUAUAGGGCUUGGAGAUAGAGCCGGCGCGGGUUCAAAUCCCCCGGAGGAGUCGGAGCGGAUGGAGUCCGGGGCGGAGACGGCGCGCGGCGGUUGCGGAGUUCUGACCGGAUUCGGCCGGAGGUGGGAGACGAUGGGUGGGGUCCACCCGUCAGUGGCGGAGGGGAGCGGUAGACGGGCCGGCGCGACCGUGGGCUGGCGCGCGCUCGUGGGCUGCGGGGAGCGGGAGAGAAGCGGCGAGCGGGCGCUGGCGGAGCAGGCCGAGCGGAGGUAGAGCUGGGCCGCGGAGAAAAAGGAGGAGGCCGGCGGGCUGCUUCGCAGGCCGGUAAGGAUGAGGCGGCCGGGCCGAAGAAGAAAAAGAAAAGGAGGGACAAGGAGCUUUCGGCCGAGGGAAAAGAAGAAGAAAAAGAAAAGGAAGAAGAAAAGGGAAAAGGUUUUGGAAUUUGAAUUUAAAUCUGAAAUUCAAAAUUUGAUUCAAACUCAAGCAACCAAAAAUUAUGCUCCAGCAUGAAUGCACAAAUAAUUCCUAUGAUGAAUUAAUUGAAUUAAAGAAAAUGAAUUUAAAUGCCUAGAAAUUAAAUAACACCCUAAUUUGAGCAAAUUUUAAUGAAUUUGAAUUAUUGAAAUUUUGGGUGUUACAUUGGUACUACAUCUCAUGUAGUAGAGGCGAUUGUAAGAAGCAACUUGAAAAGAAGUUUGAUCACUACUAUUGCAAUAAAUGUGACAAGAGAGCCGAACCUAAAGCCCAGUAAAUUAUUUAGUAGUUUACAAUCUUAUUAUAAUACUUCUAUUUCUAAUAGGAGAAUAAUAUUUUCAGAUUCAAAUUAAGCUUCAAAUAAGUGAUCCAACAACAAGUGCAACUUGUGUACUUUUGACAAGGAAGCAGAAAUGAUAAUUAAUGAAUGAGCAGAUUCGAUGAUCACCUCAGUUGAUCAUGAUAAUAAGUAGCUACCAAAAUCAAUUCAGGAAAUAUGUGAAGAAACAUUGAUUUCUCAAUUCAGAUUGACCGAGUACAACUUGACAAGUUUUAGACCUGAUUAUACUGUUUCAAAGAUAUUUUUUCCAAAAGAAAAGGGCAGUUCAAGAAUUGGUAUGGAAAGUGUAAAAAAGGUAACACUUUAUUAUUAAUUUUUUAUUGCACUUUUUUCUUUUGAAUCCGUAAUACUUAAUAAUUUUACUAUAUCAAUGAAACAAAUUCUAACCUAAAUUUAUUUUCUUUUUUAUUAUUUGUAGGAAGUAGAAGACAACUCAGACAAAUGCUACACGAUAACUACCGAGAAUGAAGAGGUAGACACUGAUGACUCUUUUACCGAGAAAGUAACAUUCGUAGAAGAAGCCAUAAGGACUGGGGAAAGAUUGGCUAGAAAAGUAUACUCACUUCCAUGUCAGUGUUCAUUCUAUUUACAAUACAUGCAAAAAAAAUAUUAUUCAUGCAAAAUUGCAGGUCUACUAAGCAUUAAAGGAAUAGCGGAUAGUGCAAUAUGUAAUCUGAGCAGCAUGCAUUACAAAGUGCUCUACUGCAAUUAAAUUAAAAAACAUGAUAUAUGUUGAAUUCUUAGACUUUAUUAUUAUACUUUUCUACGUGACAAUUCACAAUUUUUUAGAAAAAAGAAGAUCCCAGAAGAAGUGACCAUGAAAAAAGGUCUAUGACCAGCAAUAAGAAAAAAUGCAAGCAUAGAAACAAAUCCGUAGAAAACAUAGAAAAUAAGGUACUCCAUAAACAAAAGUAUUCUCUUAUAUUUUUAUUAAAUAUUUUUUUAACACUUGACAAGUUCUUUUUUAGGAUCAAUAUAUCAGCAAUUCAGAUGUCAUUGGAGAUGAAACCUUAGUUCAUCCAAAAGGUCAAAAAAAAACAUCUGAAGAAAGGUGUUUGGCUGAAAAGGAAAAGCAAAAAAGUGGUAAUGCAGACAAACACAUGCAGAAAAAUAUAAAAACAUGUCAUAGGGAGGCAGACCAAUCUUGCAAGGAGGUAUAGACGAAACGUGAUACACGACCUGCCUACCUUGUCGUGGAUACCCCAAGAAGAUGUCAUAGAGGUGCAGACCAAGCUAGCAAGGAGGUCGAAACGUGAUACACGGCCUGCCUACCUUGCCGUGGAUAUUAGCCCUGAGAUCAUUCUACUGUUCAAGGAAUAACACUCAAUGCUGCUGCUGCUGCUGACCUGGCUCCAUAAAGUUAUACUCCUCUAGGUGCUUGCACUAACUUUAUCUGAAGUAUUAUUCUCUCUGCACUGUAUAUAUGGUUAUGGAGUUUGCUGGAGUAUCCGGGGCGAAGAACCUACAUAAUACGUCUUGGAACUAAUUGACAUUGAUUCACAGACAAACUCUACAAGGUGCUGUUCUUGCCAUUUUAGAGCAUCCAAAGGACUAUAAAUAACAUAGUUUACCAUAUACCAUAUACCAUAUACCAUAAUAUGUUAGCUAAAAUAAGAGCAUACACAUGUUGCAGGAGUCCAAAAGCACCGGUUGAGGACCAGGUACAUUGAAUUACUAGAAAAAGACAGGGGACAAGGUUUAGGUAACCACAUGAAACAUUUGAAUUUAUUGUACUAUGAACACUUAGUUACCAUGCCAGGAGCACAUAGUUAACACUAACAUUUAGCCACUUUAGAUCAUCCCGAAUCACCAAUGACCCUCAAUAGUGACAAAUUUUGGUUUAAAUGCCAUCACCAAUGAUCCUCAAUAGUGACGUAUUUAGGUUUAAAUCCCGUCACUAAUAACCCUCAAUAGUGACCUGUUUUGGUUUAAAUCUCAUUACCACUGAUCCUCAAUAGUGAUGUGUUUUAGCAAAACAUGUUAUCAAUGACUUGUCAUUGGUGACGUGUUAAAACGCGUUAUCUCAAUGGCAAAUCAUUGGUGACGUGUUAUCUCAAUGUUAUCAAUGUUCUAUUCUUUUCAACAAUACCAGCUCGUUCCUCCGUUUUUAUUCCACCAAUACAAGCACCACCUUGUAACAUUUCCUAUGUUUUUUUUCCUUUUGUCUGUUUUCUCACUACAUGCGUUGCUCUUUCAUGCAUUUUUUUCCAUUCCUGUAUUCCAAAUAGGUCUACAUGAACACAAAAUGAACUAGGGGACAGAAAAAGCCAGUGAAGCCAAUUUUGAGCUUCACCAGCUACUUGCUACAUAAAGUGUGCUAUAGUGACGUGUUUUAGCAAAACAUGUUAUCAAUGACUUGUCAUUGGUGACGUGUUAAAACGCGUUAUCUCACUGGCAAAUCAUUGGUGACGUGUUUUAAAAAAACAUGUCACCGUGAGAGUCAUUGGUGAAGGGUAAUUAAAAUGCGUCACUAAUGUUGUAGCAUUAGUUAUGAUAAUUUAGUAACGCAAAAAUCUACCAUCAGUAUUGAGCUUUAGAGCCAUCGCUAAUGUGGGUUUCUUACAUAGUGAUGCAAGCUCUACAAGGUGCUGUUGCUGCCAUUUUAAAGCAUCCCAUGACUACAUGUUAAUAACAUAGUUUACCAUAUAUCAUAAAAAUAUUAGUUACAAUAAGCACAUACGCAUGUGGAAGAGUCCGAAUGCACCGGUUGAGGACUAAACACAUUGAAUUACUAGAACCAAAUGUAUGUUUAGAACAAAGACAGGGGUCAAGGUUUGGGUAACCGCAUUAAAAACAUUGGAUUUUACUGUACAUGAACACUUAGUUACCAUUACCAUGCCUUGAGCACCUAGUUACAACAAACAUUAAUUUAGCCACUUUAGAGCUUCCAGAAUCGCUAUAAAUAAUAUACCUACGCCGUACCAUGAAAACAUCAAGAAGAGAGACGGAUACAUGGACCACCAUCAAGCGAGUAGUGACAGCACGCACAAGAAUACCCGGAACCUGUUAGCUUGUCUGUAGUGAUCUGUUUUCUUCCCCAUAAAAUCCAUGAGUAUUGCCACAAAUAAUGAAAGAGGCUGACCAAGCUAGCAAGGAGGUAGAGCAAACGUGAUACACGGCCUGCCAAGAUUGCCCUGGAUACGCCAAUAAGAGCGACAGAUACAUGGAUCACACCAAUAUGGUGAAACGUAUAUUCAUCACACAAGCAAAGCUGGUCAGUUUAUCCAUGGUCAAAUUGUGGUCUUUGUUUUCACUUGAGAGCUAAUUGAGGCACUAUAAUAUGGGCAGGCCUAUCUUCAACAGACAUGACAGCUACAGGGAACUUGACAUAAUUUGCUGGGCCGCCUGUGCACAAUUAUUUGUUUUAUUGUCCUUGCAUAGAAUGCUAAAAUACUCUUUACAAAAUGUUGGAUCUAAUAUUUGAAAUAUAGAGUAGUAAUCAUAUAUUGAUCAACAACUUGAAAUUAUCUGUACAUUCUCGGUGAAGCUGUUGAACUAAUUUUUGCAAAUUAUUAAUUCAUCUCAUUACGUAAAGAAAAAAGUAAGUGGAUAAGAUAUUUCGUGGACCACAUCACUGCAAACAUGUCAUGGAGAGACAGACCAAGGAGGCAGGACGUGAUACACGACUUACCCUAGGUUGCCGUGGAACCGCCAAGAAGAGAUACAGAUACAUGGACCACACCAUCUUGGGAGUAGUGACAGCAUAUAUGCAGAAGAAUACCCCGUGCCUAUUUGCAUGCAUGUCUCAAGUGAUCUGUUUUCUUCAGAAAAUACAUGAGCAUUGCCAGAAAGAAUGGCAAGAGACAAACAUGUCAUAGAGACUUGCAUGUCUUGCCUUGGAUACGCCAAGAAGAGGGACACAUACAUGGAUAACACAAAUCUAGUGACACGUAUAUUCAUCACAAAGGCAAAUCUGAUAAUUUUAUCCAUGGAGCAGACCAAGGAGAAAUUGAUGACGGACAUGUGAUCUCUGUAUUCAGUUGAAAGCUAAUUGAGCUACACUAAUAUGAGCAGGACUAUAUUCAAGAGACUUGUUGAGAGCUACAGGGAACUUGUAAUAAUUUGCUGGGCGGCCUGCGCACAAUGAUUUGUUAUACAUAGUUGAAAUAUUUCAAGAAUUUAUCAACCUCAUACUCUGAAACCCUUGGUGCAAUGUACUCUGCUUUCCGAGGUAGACUGUUCACGUAAAAUGAGGUCAUGCGUAAGACGGAAUCGGAUUGGAUUCACAGGGAAUCAGAUUUGGAUAGCACCUUUUAGCAGGUUUUUAGUCAAAUGCAAAUUCGGAUCCACAUGUGGUUGAAUGCGAGUUCAAAAUUCUACUUGGAUAUCCAUUUAAUUUAGGUGAUAGCAAUUAGCACAAAAUGUUGGAUGAACAAAAUCAUAGUUAGACAUACAAUUACAUGUAUGGUUAAAGUAUAAUACAAUACACCAAGAUUAUUCCUUGAAAAUAUUUCUUAAAAAUAUUAUAAUAAAUGAAUAAAUAUAAUUGUGGCCACCAACAAAUAGUCGGUGGUCGCUAAGUUGGAGCCAUUUCUGGUUACUAAUGCGGCCUUCUCCUCGACCAGCGACGACAGCUGAGCUUGUUCCUUCUGACACUAAAUCAUCAGAGUCUUCCCUCCACUACUAUAGAAUGCACCUUUAGCACCAAUUGGGAAAUCCCCUUCAGUAUUGGAUGCUGCAACCAGUGCUAUAUAUCAAAAUGGAGACUAAAAGCCUCGGUCUUGGGUACCGGUUGCAUAACGCAUUACUAAAGGAGGCAAAAGAGAAAUGUAACAAAAAAAAUAUUUUGAAUUCCAAGAAUGUUUCACUAUUCAAGAUGACUAGCUGAGAGUCAACAGACAAGAUACUAGGAAUGUGGGUGCUUGAAUGCAUUUGUACAGAGGUCAUACUAUUUACAAACUCUUCUAUGUUUCCAUAUGACUACCUACUUCAAUGUCACGCGAGCCAUUCAGCUGGACACAUGGCACACUAGCUUGCAUGUCGAAUCCAUGAUUAAUUAUUUGCACUUGUGAUCUCUUACCAGUAUUUGUCCAGACUAGAAACGUGCAACACAUUUUUAGGAUAUGGACACGCAUAUAUUUGGACUAGUAUACAGGUCACCUUUGGAUGCGUACAAGGAUGACCGGGAGGGACUAAUGGAUACAAGGAAGGGACCAUCAGGAUUAAUAUUGACAUAUGCCACAUGACAAUCUUCAUUGUCAUGCAAUCCCUAUCAACAAUCAUGGAAUCCCUAGUGUACUAAUCCCUGGAGGGUUGUGUGGAAAUUUAUUUUACCUUGCGGUGAAAAUCUCAUGAGCAGUCAUUAGUUAAGCUGACUAGCUGAGAUAUAAUAGACAAGCUAGUAAGAUUGGGAGCAUCAAUGCAUCCAUACAGGGUCACAAUAUCCUUUCCAUUCACUUUUAUAUAUAACCCUACGAAUACAAGUCCAACGAAAUGCGGGCCUUUCGAUCAAGAUAAAUUAAAUGGCCCACUUGUAUUUCUAAUCCAGGAUUAACUAUGCCCUCUGUUCAUCUCUUGCAAGCACGUGCAACACAUUUUCACGAUAUGGACAUGCAUGGAGGUUAUUAUACUGUUUGGACAAACUCUGAUGUGCCAUGACCUAAAUGCUUAGGGCCUGUUUGGUUUGAGUUGCUUAUUAUAAGCAACUUAAAGUUGCUUAAAGUUGCUUAUUUGAAGUUGCUUAUUUUUAGUCUAAACUGUUUGGAUACCCUUGCUUAUGAGCAUUGAAUGAGUUGGACAUUGUCAAAUUUGCCCCAUGUGUUGCUACCCCUCCAAUUUGCCUCCCCACCCUUCUUCUUCCUGCACACGUCCGAUCCCGGGGGCCGACGGCGGGCAGGGAGCAGCAGCAGCUGGCCAGGGCGGCGGUGGGGCGGGAGCGGCGGCGCACACCAGCACGCGCUCGCACGCCAGGUGCUAGGGCGCGGCGAGGCAGUCGUCGUAGCCCACCGGGAGCGGGUGCUCGGGCGCGAGGCGGUACUCGACGGAGAUGCCGAGCGUCGGGCGCGCGGCGGCGAGCGCGUUGAGGAAGCGAUGGUAGUGCGGCGACGUCGCGGACUCCGCCACGAAGCCGCCGCCGUGGACGUACACCACCACGGGCAGCUUCGUCUUGCCGUCGGCGGCCGCGGCCGCGGCCUGGGGUGGCAGGUAGAGGCGGACGGAGCAGGAGCCGAGGUCGACGUCCCUGGAGUCGACGCCCGUGGCGGCGUCCAGGCUGGGCCCGACCGGCGGCGGCACGAGCGGGCGCUCGAUGCGGCCGCUCUUGUAAAUCCGACGGGUCUGUGCGGAGGCGGGCGGCGGGCGGGAGCGGCGGGUGGGAGCGGCGGCAGGUGGUGCGGAGGCCGGCGGCGGCGGGUGGCGCGGAGGAAGGGGAGCUGGUGAGUGGUGACAGGGGAGGGGGGGAGAGAGAGGGGGGGUAGGGUGCAUUGAAUGAGGGCAGGAGGUGUAAAGUGCACCUUUUAGUCCCCAUGAGCAACCAUAAGCAGCCCAAGAGUUGCUUAUUUGCUUAUAAUAAGCAACCUCAUAAGCAAGAGUGAUUGGUUUCAUAAGCAACUUAUUUGCUUAUUUUAAGUUGCUUAUGCAUAAGCAUGUGAAACCAAGCAGGUCCUUAACCUAUGGUUGUGGCACCACACAGUACAUAGUAUUUAAUAAUGCUAUUCGUUUGGUAUGUGCACAAGGGCACGCAUGAAAUGUCUGGCCCACGGUAAACAAGUACGGACGCUGCAAAUAAUCUACUCUGCUCGUCCAGUCCCUAGCCUAUAAAUAGAUGCCAUGCUAGCUCUUGUUGUGCUCACAAUUAAUCCUGACUACACACGAGCUUCUCUCCCUGGCCAAGACACAAUCAUAGUAUGAUGAAGAACAUGGCACUAGCCGGCAAUGGUAUGAAGAACUUAAUCCUCGCUGUUCUCUUACUGUGUCUAGUUAUAGGGCAGAUACAAGUGGAAGCUAAGAGCUGCUGCCCAUCCAUUACUGCAAGAAAUAUCUACAAUGCCUGCCGUAUCACGGGUACAUCCCGUCCAACGUGUGCAAAACUGUCAGGCUGCAAAAUUAUCAGCGGGGACAAAUGCAAGCCCCCUAACGACCACCUCACCCUUGACCCGGACACUGGUAAAUAAUAAAUUUAUCUCACUUGAUUUCUUCGUGUUUUGAGUCGUUAAUGUAUUUUCCAUCUGAUGAAACGUAUUGGUUUUGCAUUGAAGAGGAAGUUAAUGUGCUUAACUUCUGCAAGUUGGGGUGUGCGUCGUCUGUGUGCAACAACAUCAACGCUGGUAAGCACCUUUUGCUCAGACGGAGAAAACAAUAAUCAUUAAUUAGCGGCAGCUAGAAUCCUAUAAUCUAAUAUAUUUAUAUAUAUAUAUAAUUUUAUCAGCUCUGGGAAAUGAAGAGGCGAACGAUGCCGUUGAGAGUUGCGACCAAGCCUGCUCUAGCUUCUGCAACGUGCACGUUGGCGCUGCCACCGUGGUUGCUUAAGCAAAUGCAUCCAACUGGAUCGUCCUUGUGCUAAAUAAUUGGAUAUCGUAUCCACUUAAAGCUGCCUUGUGUAGUACGUUUUUGUUUGUGUCUCUCUUUAUAUUCCAAUAAGGUCGGUGAUCUUGAUGCCACACACUCAGACGUGUGUUCAUCUCCAGAUACUACUCCAUGCUACCUGCCCUUUGUGUUUUGUUCAAUAACUGGGUAUCAUAUCCCAGCCAGUGUGCCAUCUGUUUUGUGUUUAUUUCCUUCUAGUUUCAAAGGGGUUAUCAUGAUGUUACCUUCUUUCGAUAUGGUGCUUUGCAUGACUACUGUUGUAUGGUACCAUCUUGUUGGCCAAUAAAUACAUCUUAUCCUAUGACCCUUUGCUAUGACCCUUUGCAAAUAAGUACAAGAUUGUUAAAUACUCGGUAUAAAUUGACUACUGCUGUGAGUUCCCUUUCAGCUUAUCGUAGGCAUACAUUAUUGCUAGCACGGUGAAGACAACCAACACGAAUGGUCAAGUAAACGUACCGGUACUUUUGUAUACCAACACCCUUGCUUAAAUGUACCGGUGUUACUCCCCACUAGCACAUAUAUUCUUAUAUGCUAGCCGGCUUGAAAAUUAACCGAUUAAAAUAAUUAUUUCAAGACAGAAAUAACUUAUCGGCUUCUCGAAGCAUGUGUAAUGUGAAUUCAAGGACUUGAUGGAAGUUGAAUCGCUUAAUCUAGAUUGCUUUCAGGAUUUUGGGUAACUAAAUUUAACAUUUGCACAUACAAAUGUUAAUGUACAAAUAUUAAAUAUAGUUACCCAAGCAGAAUAUGAAGAUACUCUAUAGUAUAUAUAUACUAUAUAAAUCUAGUUAACAUUUAGUCUAAAUGUUAAAUCUAGUUACCUAAAAUCCUGAAAGCAAAAUGUAUAAAUAUAUAUCUUUUAAGGAAUCCCAAAGCAAGAGUUCAGUGGCAUUCUAUAGUCCCAUGCUGCUAGUUUGAGUUGGUCGAAGCCAACUUAAAUAGGAGAGCUCUCUCACUUCUCUAAAUACGUAACUGAAGGAGAGAAGGGGGCUUGGUUACACAACGCACGCACGCACGCAUAUUUGCGUUCUUUUCGCGUAACCAACCGCGUGACUUGAAACUUGCGACGUAGCGUGCUGCCAAGUCAAGUUGAUAUAACCUUUUUGCCGUAGGCGUGUAAUCUUUUGACAACGGUCAUUGGAGGUGAUAAGCACGCAGUCAAUACCUUAAUCCUGAG
rnacentral:lncRNA from 1 species